rnacentral:lncRNA from 1 species
CCUUGAUUCUUGACUGGUGUGACGGCACCGUAAUCCCUCCAAUCAAUGCUUUGAGGUAUCGCGGACAUGUUUACAUCCUCAAACGACACCGAUGGCUCUAAAUUUGUCAUAUUUAGAGGAAGAGAUAGACCGACAUGCUGAGCCACAAUUUCAUUAUUUGUCAUGUCAGCGAAUUGGUUAAUGCCCAGAGUAUACGAGUUUCCGCCACGCCUGUUAAAGGCUUCGAUGCGGUUUACAUUGUCUUUAAAGAUCUCAAAACGGCGCAUCUUCUCAGCAUCGUCACUGUAAACUCGGCCGAAAUCAGCCAUCCAUUCUUCAAACCUCUUCAUCAUCGAAUCAUCUGCUUCGCCGCGAGAAGCCAACGACGAAGCCCACAUCACAGAAAGAAACAAAAAAAGAAACAAUAUUUGGAAUUUGGAAGCCAUAGCUCUGACUUACAAAUGCUUUUGUUGCUGAGAGUUAGGCUCUCCGCAUCGAGUUUAUAUAGAAGUUCUCGGCCCAUGCACUAAAGUUGCUGGACCAUUAAAUNUCGAAUCAUCUGCUUCGCCGCGAGAAGCCAACGACGAAGCCCACAUCACAGAAAGAAACAAAAAAAGAAACAAUAUUUGGAAUUUGGAAGCCAUAACUCUGACUUACAAAUGCUUUCGUUGCUGAGAGUAAGGCUCUCCGCAUCGAGUUUAUAUAGAAGUUCUCGGCCUAUGUACUAAAGUUGCUGGACCAUUAAAUUUUAAUUUUUUAAAAACUUUUUUUAGAGGAAAAGAUACAACGUGCAUGUGAUGAAAUCAUUAAUUAAUUUCUCUCUUAUCCAUUGUUCGAUAGGAAAGUCGCAAUCAAGAGAGGUACAACUUUUCACUCCGUACGCGAGAGUUAUAGUGGCUGAGCUUGCCCCUCCAUGUGUGUUGACGUACGUCGUUGCAUGAUUGAUAAUACAGCAUGCGUUGCACAACAGGAAUUAAAAAUACAGCAUGUGCAUGCGCAACAGGAAUUAAAAAAUACAGCAUGUGUCGCACUAUAGGAAUAAGAAUAAGAGCCGCACAUAAUUUUAAAAUGAUAUAUGUACAUUAACAAAUAUUAUUAUUGUUUACAAUAGCUCUUUUUCUUUUUUUUUUCUUUUUUUUUUGAGAGGAAUCUCAUCAAAAAUAGAGAAUUGUCUAGAUAUCUAUCGUUUCCUGAUGUGUCGAUAUGUUGAAGGUGUUUUGGAUUAUAGUGGCGUUGGACCACAACAUACAUGUGAGUAGUUUAGAUAUCAUGUUAUUUUCUGUAGAUAUUUAAGAUUUCGAUAAAUUGAACUACAUGUCUCUAUUUUUUAAAAAAUUUGAUAUAUAUUUAAGACAUGACUCUUUCAAUUAUAUCAUGCUAGUUCUUAUUCUGAAUAAAAAAAAGGGCUAAAUUUUUUCUGAGUAGAUUUUUCUUUUUUCUUUUUCUUUUCUCUCUCUCUCUCUCUCUCUUUUGAGACCUAGUAGUCUUAUAUUUUGUAGCUAAGUUUAUUUUCGAAAUGAAUGAAGCAGAUAGCUUGCUAUCUUUUUCUCAAAAAAAAAAAAAAAAAAAGCUUAAAUUGAAUCAGUCAAACCUAUCCCCUGCUGUGUAUCAGUUACAACCUCAAUUUUAAAUAUGUUGAAAGGCAAAUUGCACUAAUAAUCUCAACAAACUUCUAUUUUUAGUCCUCAAUUUUAAGUUUUCAAUAUUUGGGACUCGUGACUAUCCAUUCUAGUGCUUAGUUAAAAAAAGUAAAAAAUACAAAAAAUUACGAGCAAAUUAAGCUAAAUUGUAGAAAAGCUCCUUACAUAUGUUGGAUUUUACACUUUUUCUUCAAUAUUUAAACUAUCAGCCAAAUCAUUAUAUACUUUACAACCACUCGCACCAAUAUAAAUUAAGAAGCGAAAAAAGUUCUAAUAUCGUGUUAAAGAACUGAAUCUAAUCAAAACAAAGUCACGGUAAAGAUAACUCUCACAUUAGAUGUACUAUUUAAUAUUAUCUAAUAAUAUAACCAAACAAGUACUCUAUAGAUGAGCGUACAUGCUAUCAGAAGCAGUCGAUGAGCUUCCCGUGCCUUCCAAGUCGUUUUGACUGUUGCGACUUGCGAAUCGUCGAUCGACUCCGUUAAACUUGAUCUAGAGUAUUUGAAGUACCUAGAAAAUAAAUUUUAUGAUUUUACGAUAUCAUUUGCCUAGUGAACGAAGGAGCUCAAAAUCAACGGCUGAAAAUAAAAAUCUUACAAAAUAUAAUAAUAUGACAUUAAAAUUUUAAAUCAAAGAUAUUUAUCUUGUUUUAUAUAGUAUAAAGAAUUUUCUAUCAAAAUUUCACGUGAUUUGGAUAUUUCUACACCGUUAAACUUGCAAACGGCUCACUACGGCCAUUGAAAUUUGUUGAUUUUGAGCCCAUUCGAUCACUAGGCAAAUAAUAUCGAAAAAUAAUAAAAUUUAUUUUCUAGGUACUCCAAAUACUCUAGAUCAAGUUUAACGGAGCCGAUCGACGAUUCGAAAGUCGCAAUAUCGAAAACGAGUUGGAAGCACGGAAGGCUCCGUGCUUCCGAUAUCAUAGUAGCCUCACUCCUCUAAUAAUAUAAUUUUGUAUUUUGUAUUUCAAUUAUAUAUACUUUCCAUAUUGACCCUCACAUUACCCCAUAAAUAUUCAAAACAAAUAAAUCUACAAAAAUAUUUUUUUUUGAGAUAUUUUUGUAUCAUAAUGUUGCAUGUGCAUGUGCAUGUGCAUGACUUUUCAAAUUGCCUGGGACAAAAAUAUUAUAUGUUUGGGGACUUUGCGGAUCGGCGCCACGUGGUCGAUUCAAUGGUCACGGAUCUCAGUUGCUUUUUCUCUCUCUCUAAAAACACAGAAUUUUUUUUUUGUCUUUCCAUCCGUGGCCAUCGGAUCGGCCACGUGGCACCAAUUUGCAUAGUCCCAAACACAUGCCCAUAAAAUUUUUGUACAAUUGUCUGGGGGCCAUCCCAAUAAUUUUGCAGCCAACGCAUUCAAUGCGGUGACAACUUAAAUUUAAUUAUUGGAGCAAGAAAAUGUGAAACCCUUAAACUUUAAGCGACUUUGAAAUAGCUCCUCAAUAUGGUUUUUCCCUCAUUGCCAUGUUUUAUAUUAGUUUAGGGUGUGUUUAGUUCUACCUAAAAUUGUUCCAAUUUUUUUUUUUCGGUUGAAAAGUAAAAUCUCAAAACAGAACCAGAAACCAUAAUGUCGAAGCAAACAACAGAACCAGAAACCAUAAUGUCGAAGCAAGCUUAGCAAUUGGAUGCAGCAAACAUCCAUAUUUAUGCAAGUUAAGCAAACAAGAUAGCAAACUGCAGUGUUGCUAAAUCAUUUGCUUCCCACUUAUUAAGAUGAGCACAAUGUCGAAAAAAUAUUAUUAUUAUACUUUCAAAAAUACAAUUAAUUUAUUAUUGAUAAUGUGGUAUAAAUAUGAUACGGUAAAUUUUCUCAUCGUCAUUUGUUUGGACCGAUACGAUGUAAUCGGGAGGGGUACAACUUUCACUCUUACGCAAGAGUUAUUGCUGUUGAUGUGUUGUUUAUUGGGACAAAAGUUUUAUAGGCAUAGUGCUCAAACUAAUUAAUUUGGAGAUUAUGCGGACUGAUGCCACGUGGCCGAUCCGACGGCUACGGAUGGAAAAAAAAAAAAAAAAAAAUUCGUGAUUUUAGAGAGAGAAAAAAAAGCACGGAGAAUCCGUGCCCGUCAGACUGCCACAGGGCGGCCGUAUCCGCAUAGUGCCCAACCAAACUAAUUAAUUGAGCACUACAGCCCAUAAAAUUUUUGUCCGUUUAUGGAAUUAUUUUUUCAGGAGAAGAAUGACGCUAAUCUGCUACCAUAAUAAAGAGGGUGAAUUAAUAGCUACAAGGAUGAGGACAGCAACGUGUCACAGAAAGAGAGACAGAAAAAAAAACAACGAAAAAAAACAUAGGAAGGUAGUUUCGAUUACAAGACCCAAAGAAUGUUCCAAGAGUUUUAUUGGAAUGAUACGCGAAUCAUGUUUGCACAACGGGAGGAGGAGCAAAUAAGAGAGCAAGCAUAAAAAUUACAACGCGAUUCACGCUCUCUUAAAAUAUUAUAAAUAUUUACAAAAUACCUUUUAAGCGAAAAUAGUCCCAUCAAAACAUAUGUUGAGAGUUACAAAUAAGGACGUGUUUUGGUUCGCUUUUUUUUCGCGCCUGGAAUCAAACUUCGAAAUCGGAAUGGGUAAAUCACAUUUGUGGGUGUUGGUACGGCGGAGUGCCAUCCAAUUCCCGAUGCCCGAGUGGACAUGGAAUCCCCCAAUCACUCUCUUUUCAUUCCGCGGCUUAGGAGGCCGAAUUGAAAUUGAAUCCGACGGAAUGAUAUUUAAUUCGGAUUAAAUUUAUUUUUAAUUGUUUUUAAUUAAACAUAGAGUUAAAAUCAAAAUUAAAAAUAUAGUAAUUUUUAAAUUUAAUUUAAAACCUAAAUUAAAAUUAAAAUGUAAAUCAAAGUAUUUCGAAUACUAAACUUAAUGAAUUGAAUUUAAAAAUUAAAUUUUAAAAUUUAUAUAAAGUUUUAUUCAAAUUUAUUGCAACCCUAAAUUAAAUUUAUGAUUCAAAUUAAAAAUUUAAAUUUGUAAAUUUUAAGUUGAAUUUGAAUAAAUCUAAAUUUAUUUCAUAUUUUUAAUUCAUCACACUCACUUAAAGUUUAUUUUUUUAAAAAAAAUAGAUUUUAAAUUUGACAUUAUUCAAAUUUUGAUAUAAAUUUUAAUAUUUAAUUUUAAUUUGAAUUUAAAUUAUAUAUGAAAAGAUAAUGUUAGUAUAGUUAAUUGAUUACUUUUUAUAUCCACCUGAACCAAACACUGAAUAAGGAAUGAUUUAUGCGAUUCCGAUUCAAGGUAUUAAACCAAAUCAGGGAAUAGUAAGAGCAAUUAACAAUUCCGAUUCCAGCUUUUGGAUUCCGAUUACGCGAUUGCCGACUCCGAUUUUCGAACGACAAACACUGCCCUAUUACCAUUGACUUUUACCAUUGACUAUUAUAUAUCUAUUAAUAGUCGGCUUAAAUUUUUAUAGUGAUAUCAAUAAAAAGGGGGGCGACGAUAUUGCCCAGGCCAUUCAUUGAAGAGGACAUGACCCUACAUAUUUUUGAAAUGCCCUCUAAAUAUUUUAUGCAAUACAUUUAUAUCAUCAUGCAUCACAAUGAAUAAUUAAAAAUAAAAAUAAAAAUAAAAAUUAGAAUUAAAACUAAAAUUAAACUUUUAAUGUAAAUAAAAGUGCAAUCAAAUUUAAAUCUAAAUUUAAAUUGAAAUAAAUAAAACUAAUUCAACAUCUAAUUUGACAAGUAACAUUAGUGAAUUCUUAAUUGGAUUCAAUUGAAUUUUCAAAUUCGAAUUACAUUUGAGUGCAGCUAAGAUCAAAGUUUAAAUGAAAAUUGACCAAAUAAUGUAAGCUGAAAUGCAGCUAUUGCGUUACAAGUGCCUGGUAAUGCUUGAUAAGGAUAGUAAAGCGCGCUUCGACAGGUCACCCGUUGUUAGAUAUUAUGAAACGUAGCCUUGUCCACCCAACCGCCUGCACCCAUAGUCCGUAGUUUAAUAAUACAACAGCACAAUCGAGAACUUCUUUCUCCGAAAGAGAUACUAAUCCCUGCUUUGACUUGUAGAUCUCUUUCACUGUCGCAUAUUGCACUGAAGCCUGCAAAACCUAUGCAGAACAAAGUUUUACGUAGCAUAACUAACUAGAGACAAAGUUAUAUAAUGAUAUACGCAUGAACUAAGGAAACAUUCAAACUAACAUAAUUAACGUUAUUUGCAAGUACAGAGCGCUUUUAACUUGUUUAAGAUUUUGAGUGUUAUAAAAUUGUCACCUAAAAGAUAUUGGCGGUUUGAACUCUCAUACACGACAUGUUUCAAAAUUUAGAAAAUUAACUAGUAGAGGAAAAAGUACAGACUAGAGGAUCACAUUUCGGAAAUUCUGAAGAUGAUUUUUCGGCCAAUCCAGAUUCGCAGCACACAUUAGAACAAAAUAAUGAUUUGAACACUCUAACAAGAUAUAGCAGUGUUGCGCACUUUAAUAUGCACAAACAUAACUAUACGAAGUAUGUUGUAUACAUUAAAUUUACUAUGUCCAAAUAAUAGGUUAAAGAUGGAAUACGAAUGAGAUUGAUUUCUUUUUUUUCCGCUACAACUCAGUUAGGUUUUGUUCUUUUACAGUGGCGUCCGACCGCAAACAUACAUCAUACCGAUUAUAUACUCAGAUCCAAUUUUAUUCGAACCAGAUAAUAUAGAAUUUGUAAUGCACUAUAGUCCUAAAACCUUAAUUAGUUAGGCUAAAUAAGAAAAAUCCUCUUGUUAACCAUCUGUUUUCACUUCCUCCAUGCUGCAUUUAAAAAUCUAUAACCUUGCGCCCCCCUAAAAAUAAAAAAUAUUCAUAUUCGGUUCCUGCCGUCAGUUUCUAGUUGAGGUUCCAUUUCAUAUCUUAUUUUUGUAAUUCAAAAUAUUUCUGAAUUCUCAUCUACUAUCCACACACCAUGACCGCCUCGCUCUGCCCACUCCCCUUCAUAGCGUAGAUGCAUCCACGCCUGCUCUCUGCCGCCUGGAAUGACAAGAUUGGGGAACAGAAAUAAAGAAAAGUAGGAACAUUUGUUCAUCUUUAUCACACCAAUAUCAUUCUAUAAAUACGUUUUUAUUUUUCGAUAAAAAAAGCAAAGUAUCAUGAUUUUUUUUUAAAAAAAACAAGAAAAACGGCUUUGCUAAAGGUUUCAUAUAAUAGCCAUUUAAUUAAUGCGAGCAACAUUCGCAAACUGAAAAAUGCUAGAAUGCACGGUUAUAAUUAGUGACCGUACGCGGCAUAACAAACCAAUUACAUUAAUCCUUUUAAAAAUAUAUGUCCGCAUCAUGAAUGUAAAGAGUAUUUAUUGUACUUUAUUUUGAAAAGAUGAUAUGAUUGGCUUUUAUGAGACGUGGUGCAAAUGUGACAGUGAGAUUCCUCUUCCAAACAUAAGGCACGCCCUCAGCUCAAACAUUCCAAACUAGGUCCAAACGUUCUUCUUUUUUUAAAAAAAAGUUGAGUUUUGUUUUUAUUUUUUUGAUAAUUAGAUUAAAAUAUUAUAAGAUUUUUAUCAGAUUUUCCUGUGAUCCAUCAAAUUUAAACAGUUGACCAUUCUGCAUUGAACUUAAUAAUUACUAAAAUUCAAGAUAUAUUUAUCAAAUAUAUCAAAUAAAAAUUCAUAUAUUUACAUAGGCGAAGGUACGUAGGACGUAAUGCAUCCCAAAUGGAUUAACCAAGUUCAUCGCAUCGAAACCAAAACGCAUACUUAACAAAAAACGCGUCUUUUAUUUAGUAACUGCCAAAGAUGAAGAACCAUUUCGGUCAGAGAACACCUAAUAUUUUUAAGUAAGAUUCAAAAAACCUCCAUGUGAAUUCGUAGUUUCUCACUGUUGCCUCCCUGUGUUUAAAAUGUAUCAAUUGCUCCCCCGUGUUCUUUUUCUCUUUUUUAUCAUUGCAUUUAUUUUUUAUCUUAAUCAGUCUAAAGUUAAAAUAAAAGUAUAAAAUAAAUAUUUGAUAACUCUAGAUGGAUAUCUGAAGUUUUGUAUAUAAUUUGAUGAAAUAUUAAGAAAAACUACCAAAAAAUAAAAAUGAAACCACAGGGGGCAAUAUUGAUACAUUUUACACCACAGGGAGGUAAGUGAAAAACUACGAAACCAUAGAAGGGAGUUUUUGAAGUUUUUCUUUUAAAAAAAAAAAAUUAUUUAAAUAGACUAAUUUUUUUAAAAAAAUAUUAUUUAUUUAUGUAAUUCAAUGACUAUAAUUGUAAUAGAAUAAAUUUUCUCAUUUAUUGAAUAUUUUUUUAAAAAAAAUUUUUUUUUAUUGUAAAUUUUUGAUCCGUCUGCUGAUCUCCAUCUAUUAUGGUCAGAAUUGAGAGAAAGCUAGAUACACAAGCCAUUGCAUAAGUUACAGAUAUGGUGUGGCUCAGUCGAGUAGGUUAACGGCAAACCCUUAUUUCCACCCAUAGUUGGCCGCACAUACACAAGUUGCAUUGCAUAAAGAGACCAUGUGAUCCAUUUAUAGUACUAACCAAGGCACACUAGUCCACAUAAAUGAAGGACACAUCAUUAUAGAUUUCAAACUUAACAUACUGAUAGAGACACACCGGAAACAAAACAGAAACCCACAAUGUCGAAACAAGCUAGCACUUGAUGCACGCAAAAUCCUUAUUUAUGUAAGAAACGCAAAUAAGUAGGCAAACUAGCAGGUCGAAAAAAUCAUUUGCUGUUCCGACUUAUUACGUAGCUUCAAUUUCAGAAACCCAUCUUAAUAACUUCGGCAUUAGCCCUGAUUGGAAGUAGGAAUAGAGGAGACAUGCGAUUCCACAUACUCCAGAAGACGAUACACAACUCUGCCCAUAACGACGUAUCCACUUCUCCCCCCAUGACUGCCCCCACGAGUCCUUACUAUCUAAUAUUUUUAGUUCCACGGCUAUCAUGCCCGUACCUAUAAUGGUAAUGGCAUGAUUAGAGACUAGUUCACACAGGUCCGGCGCUAAACACAACCCCAUUGUAAAUUGAAAGUUUCACUGGCAUCGAUAAGAGCACUAUGUUGAUUCGACACAGCGCGUACAUAUGCUGCGUCAAUCGUUCCUUCGCACAUAUGAAUAACCAGUAAUGUAAGCUGAAUUAGAACAGCUAUUGGCGUUUGGCAAGUGCCAUUGAGCUAUGCUUGAUAAGGAUAGUUUUUCGUGGUCACACCGUUGUUUAUGAUAUGAUGAAAUCGAGGCCUUGUUCACGAAACCUAGCCGCCUUUGCAACCGCUACUACAGCACAUCGAGGAACUUCUUGCUUCCGAUAAAGAUACUAAGUUACCCCUGUUUUAUCUGUAGAUUCCCUCACCGUCGCAAUUGCACGAAUGACCAGCAAGAACCUAUGCCAAACAAAAGAUACGCGUUAGCAUAACGACGAAGCAAAGUUAUAUCUGAGAUGCAAUGAUAUAACGAAUAUCCUCACAACUCAACAAUAAUAUAAAUGUUUUUGGCAAUACAGACUGCUUUUAACUUUAUUUCAAACGGUUUGUCAAGGCAUAUGGAGUCCUGUUCUUUUUGACUACAACGACUUUGGCUUACUUUAUAUAACUGAUUAUGGCAUAACUCAAUUAAUAGUAAGAGAACUCAGCAAAUAGAGCUAAUUGCAAAUAGAUUGAAUCAAGUCGAAGCCUGUGAACAUUGUCCUUGAAUCCUUAAAUGCGAUGGAUGUGUCCUUUUUAUCACCAUGUAUGUAUUUUUGGAUAGUUAAUUAACACUUAUAUAUACAUUUGAUGGCUAAGUUGAUUUUUUAUUAACUAGAUUCAAUACUUCAUUUCUUUGUACAUUGAUAAUGUGUGAUUAUACAUGUUUAGACACUUUUAAUCAGCCAAAGUAAUGGAAUUAUUGAGUUUUAGUGGGCGGAAAUUUGGUCCUUUUGUCCAGAAAAGGCAGAAGGCAUUCGGUAGCAAGCAUAUUUGAUCUAAGCAACAUGUUAGCAGCAUCUUAUAAAGUUAACUAAGAAUAAUUUUUUUUUCUUUUUUCUAGUUGAAGAAAUGAAGUUGCAUUGACAAUUUAUAGUCUAAAUUAUUUCUUACCACAGGGGUUUUGAUUCUUGACCUCGUUUACGGCACCAUAGUCUCUCCAAUCAAUACUUUGAGGCACCGCGGAGAUGUUUACGUCAUCAAAUGACACCACUGGCUCUCUCUCGAUAUUUAGUGGGAGAGAUACGCCGGUAUAUUGAGCAACAAAUUCGCUUUUUGUCAUAUCGGUAAACUGAUUGAUACCGAGAGUGUACGAAUUUCCGUUGCGACUGUUAAAGGUUUCGAUAUGCUUCACGUUGUUCUUGAAUAUCUGAAACCGGCGCAUCUUCUCGUCGUUGUCCUUGUAAACUCGGCCAUACUCCGCCAUCCAUUCUUCAAACCGCUUCAUCAUGGGAUCACUGGGUUCGUCACGAGAAGCUGCCGAUGGCGAAGCCCACAUCACACAGAGAAACAUGAAAAGAAACACGAGUUGAACUUUGGAAGCCAUGCUUAUGUAGCACUAAAUAUGUAUGAGGAAAUUGGAGAUGGAGCUACAAGAGCUUUUGGUGCUGAGAGUAUGGUGUCAAGAUCGAGUUUAUAUAGAAGUUCAUGCCUUGGAAUGUAGGUGCGAGAAUUAUUGUGUGGGGGCCUACAAGAUGUCACAAAUCGCCAUCAAAUUAAGAUUAAAUAGUUCUGGACCGCUUGCGGCACCACGUCAUGUGGUCACUAGUGUAGUGAUUUGCUUAUUACGUCGGGCAAAUACUAUUGACAUAAAAAUUGGUACAAAAUAAAAUAUCAGUUUAGUAUGAAAAAAUAGUAAAUAUAGUUUAUAUUAUAAACAAACACUUCUAAACAAAAUAAAACUAAAAUGAAAAAAAAUUAAUCAUUCCAAUAAAAUUAUUCAAGCUUGUUAAAAAAAAUCGCAUAUCAUACAAAUGGAUGAUUAAAAUUAUUUUUAACUUGGGAUGUCUCCACCAGAUGGAUGCGAGGCAGAGACUCAUUGUCAGGAGCAGCAAGAGCACUUUUCGACUUAUGCUUUGUUGGAGCUUGUUGGGAACUUUGGAAGGAACGGAAUUCACGGAUCUUUUAGCAACCAACACUCGACGUACGACGAACUAGGAAGGAUUGUUGUUUCCAUCGUAAAGUUCUGGGAAUCUAUUUUGGGGUCCUAAUUGUGAAUCGUUUUGUUUGUUUUACCCUGUUAAUUAGUGGUCCUGUUCUGUUAAUUAGUGGUCCUGUUGUGCUUUCUGAAGUUAGCUCAAGGGGCCUUCUUAGGGAAAGCCAAGCUAGCUCUGCUAUCUUAAGAUGUAUUCUCUGUUUCAAAUAUAGUAUAUUCCUGUUUAAUCAAAAAAAAAAUAUUUUUAUAAUACAAUAAUCAGAUAAAAUAUCAUAUAACAGUUGAUAUGACUAAAAAAAACUCACAAUAACUGACCGUUCCUAGAGCAAGUGGCAAAGGGCUUGGUGAUUGGUACCCGAGGUCCCAAGUUCGAAUCCUAGUUGAUUCACAUUUCCAGCUAAGUUUAUUUCUAAAUGAAAUAAACGAAGCGGGUAGCAUGCUACCUAUCUAAAAAAAAAAAAAAAAAAAAAACUCACAAUUAUACGCAAGACAAAUACUAUAUAUAUAAACAUAUGUAAUUCGGUCUAUCGACAGACUAUUUUUUAGCGGAAAAAAAAAUGAUUCACUUCUUACUAAAAUAAAUAAUGUAAUGAAAAAAACUUUUAAUACUUUUUAUCAUCUAAAAUAGAAAAAAAUAUACUUAUUCAAAAUUUUGUCAACCGAAAGAUAUUACUAUAAAUCUAUAUUUUAAUUCAAAAUUAUUUAAUAUUUUUUUAUCUCUAAAAAUAAAAAAAUUCAUACUAUUCAAAUUUUUGCUACAAUAUCUAAUGUAAAUCUAUAUUUCAAUUCAAAAUUUAAAAUUAAUUUAAAAUUUAAAUUUAAAAUUUGAGAACUAUCAACAUAUUAAAAUAAUUUUAAAUAUUUUUUUUUCCAUAUUAUAGUGAACGAUUAUACUUAAUUACCAUUAGAAAAUAAAGAAGUUACCUUAAUUUAUAUGAUUUUACUCCAACCACUUUCAUCUACUAGCAUGCUCCAGUUCCCAAAUGUGUCUAAAUUAGAAGACAAUCCAAAUAUGAAAGCGACGAUUAGAAGUUGACAACUAAAGUUAAUUUAAUCGUUAAACUUCAAUUUACUCUCCGCUGAUUUUAGCUUAUUUUUUUAAAAUUUGAUUUUUACUGUAGUUCAAAAUUGCCUUAAUUAUCAUAUAAUUUUAUUUUUAUUUUACCGAUAGAAUUUGACAUAAGUUAGCAAAGUAAAUUUUUUUUAAAAAAAAUCAUAAAGUGAUAUCUGCUUACCAAUAAAUUCUUACAAUAAAAUAAAAAUAAUAUUAGUAAAAUAGUUAAGUAUGUAUAACUUUUCAAACCACGUAAAAAGUGAAUUAAAAAAUAUUAAACAACAGUAAAAAAAUUAAAAUUACUCGAUCCCAAUUCAUUCAUUUUCUUCAUCCAAAGAUUCUACAAUCUCAUUCUCUCAACGACAUUCGAGUGCAAAUUAAACAUAUACAUGUUACACCAAAAGUCAAAUCAGGCAUUAUAAUUUUUUUAAUAUAUAAAUUUUUAAAACUUUAUAAAAUUAUAUCAAAUAAAUUAAAUUUUAAUUUCAAAUUUUUUAGAGGAAAAGAUAAUUAGUUACACAUUUUGUUCAUUUUGAGAUUUUUUUUUUCCCCAAGUAAAACCUAAUAAGUGAUGUAGUGCCGGCAUGCAUAUGCUGAUCCUUGAAAAUUUUUAAGUAUCGUUUGGUUUGGAAAUAAGCAAAAAGUGGUUAUUCCAGGAAUAGGUAUAAAUUGAGGUAUAAGUAGGGGUUAUAUCAAUUUUGAGUUUGGAUGAAAAUUAGAUUUUUUUUUUUUUAGAAUAAAAAAAAAGUAUUUGGUUAGGUAAGAUGUAAUAAAAAUUUAAAUGGAUAGUUAUAAAUAAAAAAUAAUGAUGUUAUCAUUUUCUUUAUAUUAAAAUUUGAAAUUUGAAAUUUUAUAUUUAUAUUUUAGAAUAAAUAUAAACUUUUAAAUUUUAAAAUUUCAAAAUCUCAAAUUUACAAUUUUAAAAAUUUAAAAUUUAAAUUUUAAACUUUAAAAUUAAAAUGAAAUUUUAAUUUAAAAAUACAAAAUAUCAAAUUCUAAAUAUAAAAAAUUUAAAAUAUCAAAUUUUAAAAGUUAAAAUUAAACAUGAAUUUUUUUGUGUUUGGGGGAGCACGACGAGGGGGGACAGAGGAGCGAAGCGGAGGGGCGGGGGGUGAGGUGGUGGGUGUAUCUGCGUGUGUUGUGUUUUUAUAUAUGUAGGUGUAUUUUUUUGAUUUGGUUUAUUUAAAUUGUUGCAAUUAUUUUUUAAGUUACGCCUAUGGAUAACAAUACUGCGCCAAUUUAAAAAAAUUCUUUAAUUUGAUGGUCUGGCAGUAUGUCACAUUCUCGAUUGUUCGUAGCGUGUGCUUAUCAAUAUAACGACUACAUUUUAAGGACUAUCGUCUUAGGGUAUAACGGUGAGAAUAUCUCACAACUCAACGAGNNNNNNNNNNNNNNNNNNNNNNNNNCAGACUUUAUCAAAUUUAAUUUUAAUUUAAAAAUUUUAAACUAUUUAUGUGAUGUAUGCGGAUGAUGAAAAUAUUGAUAAAUAUCUAGAGGCAUUUUCAAGAAUUUGAAUAUCAACUAUAUAAAAUUUAUGAGACUCAAGUGAUAUAUAACAGGCAAUGGUAGAAUAAGUAUUUUGUAACUAUCACGAUUAUUUUGGAUUGAGACUAAUCGUUUAACGUGAGCCUUAAUUGACGGUAUAAAUAAUUUAUGAGAUUUUUCUUAUCACUCCUCCUCCUCCGUAUGCGCAACACGUGCUCCGGUAAUAAUUCCAAUACACAACACAUCCUGCAGUAACUCUUGUUACGGAGUGAAGGUUUGUCCGCCCCCUCAUUCUGAUUGCAUCUGUCAACGAAAAGGACGAACAAAUGCUUUCUAAUAAUAUAGGUACCUGCCGUUAUCUGUCCUAAAUAAAGGUUUUAUAGCUUUGCUUGCGAAAAUGUUUACUAUAUCAUACUUACAUCGCAUCACAAUAAUAAAUAUAUUAUAUAAUUUUUAAUAUAUAAUAAAAUUUUUUUAUAUUAUUAUAAUAAAUAAAUUUAAAAAAUUCUUAAUUUGAUUGUGGAGAUGUCACUUAUCAAUAUAACGGAUACAUUUAAGACUAUGUUCGGUUAGGGGAUAAGGUGGAAUUUAUUCACCCUCAUCCCCAAACACAAAAAAAUUCUUUUAAUUUUACUUUAAAAUUUGAUAUUUUAAUUUUUAUAUUUAGAAUUUGAUAUUUGUAUUUUAAUUAAAAUUUCAUUUUAAUUUUAAAGUUUAAAAAUUUAAAUUUUAAAUUUUAAAUUGUAAAUUUGAGAUUUUGAAAUUUUAAAAUUUAAAAGUUUAUAUUUAUUCUAAAUAUAAAUAUAAAAUUCAAAUUUCAAUUUAAUAUAAAGAAAAUGAUAACAUCAUUAUUUUAUUAUACUAUACCAUUUAAUUUUAUUACAUCAUACUAACCAAUACUUUUUUUUUAUUCUAAAAAAAAAAAAAUCUAAUUUUUCAUGCAAACCAAAAUAUGAUAUACCCCUUACUUAUACCUCAAUUAUAGCUAUUCUCUGGAAUAACAUUUUGAUUAUUUCCAAAGCAAACGAUACUAAAAAUUUUCAAGAUCAGCAUAAUGCAUGCCGCACUACACUUAUUAGUUUACUUUGGGGAAAAAAAAAAUCUCAAAAUGAACAAAAAUUUAACUAAUUAUUUUCCUAAAAAUUAUGAAAUUAAAAUUUAAUUUUAUUUGAUAUAAUUUAUACCAGUUUAAAAAUUAUAUAUUUAAAAAAUUAUAAUGCCUGAUUUGACUUUGGUGUAACAUGUAUAGUUGUAUAAUUUGCACUCGAAAUGUCGUUGAGAGAAUGAGAUGUAAAUCUUUGGAUAAGAAAAGAAAUGAUUGGAUCGGUUAAUUUAAUUUUUACUGUUGUUUAAUAUUUUUAAAUUCAUUUUACGUGUUGAAAAGAUAUACAACUUAACAUAUUACUAAUAUUAUUUUUAUUUUUAUGUAGGAAUUAUUGUUAAGCAUGCUACACUUAUGAUUUUUUUUAAAAAAAUUACUUUCUAACUUAUGUAAUUCUAUGGGUAAAAUAAAAAUAAAAAUUAUAUAAUUAAGUGCAAACUUUCGAACUGCAGAAAAAACAAGGAACAAUCUACUAAAUCAGGGAGAGUAAAUUGAAGUUAACGAUAAAUAACUUUAGUUGCUAACUUCUAACUCGGCUUUCAUAUUUUUGGAUUUGUCUUCUAAUUUAGACACAUUGGGGAACUGCGAGCAAUGCUAGUAGAUGAAAGUGGUUGGAGUAAAAUCAUAUAAAUUAAGGUACAACUUCUUUAUUCUAAUGGAUAUAAGUAUCGUUCACUAAUAUGGAAAAAAAAUAAUUUUAAAUAUUUUAAUAUGUUGAUAGUCCAAAAUUUAAAUUUAAUGUUAAUUUUAAAGUUUUGAAUGGAAAAUAUAGAUUUACAUUAGAUAUUGUAAAAAACAUUUGAAUAAGUAUGAAUUUUUUUAUUUUAUAGAUAAAAAAUAUAAUAUUUGAUUAAAAAUAGAUAUUAUAGUCAAUAUCAAUUCGGUUGACAAAAUUUGAGAUAAGUAUAUUUUUUCUAUUAAGAUAAAAAGAUAUAUAAAAGUUUGUUUCAUUUACAUUAUUCAUUUACGUAAGGAAGUAAAUCAUUUUUUUUCCUGUAAAAAAUACGGUCUGUGAUAAAUUAGAAAUAUGUUGUAUCUUGCGUAUAUAUAAUGUAGUUUUUUUUUUUUUUUUUUGAUAGGUAAGCAUGCUACCAUCGCUCGUUAUUCAUUAGAAAUAAACUUAGCGGAAAUGUGAAUCAACUAGUCGAACUUGGGACCUCGGUACAAUCAUCCCAAGCCCUUUGCCACUUGCUCUAGGAACGGUCAUUAUUGUGAGUUUCUUUUAGUCAUAUCAACUGUUAUAUACUAUAUUUUAUCUGAUUAUUGUAUUAUAAAAAUAUUUUUUUUUGAUUAAAACAGGAAUAUAUAUAUUUGAAACAGAGAUACAUCUUAAGAUAGCAGAGCUAGCCUUGCUUCCCUAAGAAGUCCCUUGGACUAACUUCAAGACAACAUGACCACUAAUUUAUAUUAAUCGAACAGGACCACAUUAACAGGGUAAAACAAACAAAAACGAUUCACAAAUUAGGACCCAAAAUAGAAUUCCCAGAACUUAGAUGAAACAAACAAUCUUCCUGAUUCGUCGUAGCGAUGUUGUUUCUAAAGAUCUUAUUCCGUCUCAAAGUUCCCAAACAAGCUCCAACAAGAGCAUAAGUCGAAAAGUCGCAUCUUCUGCCCUGACAAUGAGUUCUCUGCUCGAUCCAUCUUGUGGUAGACAUACUCAGUUAAAUAAUUUUAAAUCAUCCAUUUGUGAAUCGAAGCGAUUUUAAUCAAUUUAAAUUUUAUUGGACAUAUAUUUUUUUCAUUUGUUUUAUUUGUUUAGUAAGGUUUGUUUAUAAAUUAAAUAUAUUACUAUUUUUUCAUACUAAAAACUGAUAUUUAUUUUUACAAUUUUUAAUGUCAAUAUAAUUGCCCGACGUAAUAAAGCAAAUCACUACACUAGUGACCACAUGCGUCGGGUGCCGCAAGCGGUCCAAACUGAUUUAACUAAGUUUUGAUGCGAUUGGUGACAUCUUGGUAGCCCCACACAAUAAUUCUCGCACCUACUUCCAAGGCCAUGAUACUUCUAUAGUAAACUCGAUCUGACACAUACUCUCAGCACCAAAAGUCUUGUAGCUCCAUCUCAAUGUUCACCAAUACAUAUUAGUUGCUACAUAAGCAUUGGCUCUCCAAAGUUCAACUCGUUGUUCUUUUCAUGUUUCUCUGUGUGAUUGGGCUUCGCCAUUUUCGUCAGCUCUCGGACUGAACCCUAGUUGUAUUCUCCAUAUGAUUGUAACGGUUAUAAUUUGAGAUAUGGAUGGCGAGUAUUGGCGAGUUUACAAGGACAACGACGAGAAGAUUGCUCGCGUUUCAGAUAUUUCAGUAACAAGCGUGGAAGCAUUAUCGAAACCUUUACACAAGUUCGCAACAGGAAUUCGGUACACUCUCGGUUCAAUCAGUUUACCGAUAUGACAAUAAAGCGAACUUUGUUGCUCAAAUAUUAACUGGCUAUCUCUCCCACUAAAUAUGAGAGGAGAGCUAGUUGUGUCAUUUGAUGGACGUAACACAUCUCCGCGGGUGCCUCAAAGUAAUUUGAUUGAGAGAGACUAUUGGUGCCUAAACGAGGUCAAGAAUCAAAACCCCUGCUGGUAAGAAAUAAUUUAGACUAAUAAUUUCUGCAACUUCAUUUCUUAACAGAAAAAAGAAAAAAAAUUAUUCUUAGUAACUGUUAUAAGAUCUGCUAACAUGUUGCUUAGUUUUUUAUUCUUCCCGAAUGGCCCCUUCUGCUUUCUGGACAAAAGGACCAAAUCCGCCCACUAAUUUUCUGCUGAUAAAAGUUCUAAACAGUAUAAUCAUUUUUAUUUCAAUGUACAAAGAAAUGAAGUAUUGAAUCUAGUUAAUAAAAAUCAUCUUAAGCCAUCAAAUGUUAUAUAAGGUAAUUCACUAUCCAAAAAAUACAUUUUGGUGAUACAAAAGGACACUUUUUAUCCAUCGCUUUUAAGUGAUUCAAGACAUAUGUCCUACUUCGACUUGAUCAAUCUAUUUGCAAAUUAGCUUAUGCUGUGUUUUUUACUAUUAAUUAAAGUUAUCAUUUAAUCAUACCUACUAAAGUAAGCAAAGUACGUGUUAGUUCAAAAAACAGGACAUCAAUGCUGAAACCGUUUGAAAACAUUUUUUAUAUCAAGCAGCUCUGUACUAAAUUUUAAUUAUGUUAGUUAUUUUAUAUUCAUAGCAACUCAGAUAUAACUUUGCUACUUUUUUUACGCGUAUCUUUGUUUUAGGCAUAGGUUCUGCUGGGUCAUCGCUGCAAUUGCGACGGUCGCGAUUGGGAUAUUCUACAAGAAAAACAGGUAUUAGUAUCUUUAUCGGAGCAAGAAGUCUCGAUUGUGCUGUUUUUAUUUUGGCGUGUGGUAUACUAUGCUUAGCUGUGUAUUCAUAGUUCUGAAUCAUCUUUCACAGAUCUGAAUUUAAAUUUUAAAUUUGAAUUCAAAUUUUGAACUUAAAAUUGUAAGUCAAUUUUAAAUCUAAAUUAAAUUUGAAAUUCAAAUUCAAAUUUAUAUUUUGAAUUUGAAUUUCAAAAUAAAACUUUGAAAUUAAAUAUAAAACUAAUUAAAAAUCUAAAUUCACUACAUGCAAGAUAAUUAAAUUAUGGGGACAUAUGUUUGGAAUAUUUUUAUAUAAGUGCCCUAUUUAUGUCAAAACUUUAAAAAUAAUCUAUUAAUGCCUAAAUAUAAAGCCCAAUCCAUUCUCCGGUAAACUAAGAUUAUCGGACCAAUUUUCAUAUUGUAAUGAAUCGAUUGUAACCUAAUUCUUAUAGUCCAUUAAAAAAUAAAAAAGUGAAUAUUUAAAUGAUUUUACAGUAGUUCUUAAGUUAGAAGACGACCCAAAAUAUGCAAUGGCGGAGUUCGGAGCUGGUAACUAAAGUUAAUUUAAUAUGUUAACUUCAAUUUACCCCGUGAUUAAGUAGAUUUUUUCCCUUUUUCCUCCGAUGCUUCAAAAAUUCGCCGACAGAACCCAACGUCAGUUACCAAAGUGAAUUUUUUUAAAAAACUUAUAGCAUACUAUGCUCUUUAACAAUAAAUUCUUACAAUAAAAUAAAAAUAAAAUUAUAGAAUACUGAAGUAUAACUCUUUAAGCCAUUGAAUGACAAAAAAAAUAUAUAUAUAUAUAUAUUAAACCACAAUGAGAAAAAUUGAAAAUUAUCCUACUUUUUAGUUCAUCAUACUAACUCCAUACCUACAAGCUCAUGUAUUACACCAAAAAUCAAACCAUCAUGUAUUAUAUAUUUUUUUAAUAUAAAAAUCUUUUAAACUCUAUAAAAUUAUAUUACAUUAAAUUAAAUUUUAAUUUAAAAUUUUUGGGAGGAAAAGAUGCAGUUUUCAGUUUCGUUCAUUUUACGAUUUUCUUCUCUUUUUUUCCUUUUUGAAGUAAAACGUAGAGACUUGGUGUAUCCUAAUGUUCAUGCGAUGAAAUCAUUAAUUUCUCUCUUGUCCAUUAAUUUUUUGAGAGAAAGGUACCUGCUUUAUUCAUUAAAGAAAAAAUUAAACUACACGAUUAAGAUAAAGGAAUCUCCGAAGUAGACCGAAAAAAUGAAAAAAAAAAUAAUUAAAUUUACAAAAACAUAUAACAAAAAAAAAUUUAAAAAAAAGGAUAUGCUCGUUUAAACACUCUAUUCUUCUCCCACUGAAGCAUCAAACAUCUGAUCGAUUUGACAGCUAGUAAAGAAUUAGUAUUAGCCAAUCUAUAAAUAACGGUGUUUCUUACUGUUCAGAUAACUCACCAAUUUUUUUUUUUGAAAAAGAUAACUCACCAAUUGACUGUGAGUUUUGUAAAUCUGUUUCUAACAUUCUGAGCACUAUCCCUUCCCAUGCUUCCACUUAUCCCAUACUAACCUCUCUUGUCCUUUGCUGGAUCGGAAAGUUGCAAUCAAGUUUGUCCGUUUCUCUCCCUGUUGGAGAGCAGUCAGAUUUUUUUUUUUUGGUGCACCCGGUGCACUAGUUUUGUUUUAAAAUUUUAUUUUUUGUUUUUUAAUUAUAAUUUAAUAAUAUAUCUCAUGAUUUUAAAAAUAUAUGUAAAAUAAUUUAGAAUUUAGGAUUUAAAAUUCUUUUGCAUAUAUUUUUUAAAUAUCAUAAAAUAUAUAUCUGUUAUAUGAAAUUAAAAUUAAGAUUAAAAUUAAAAUUUUAAAGUAAAAAAUGAUGCACCGGUGCACCGAAAAAAACCCGCUGUGUCCCGAGAGGCAGAGCAGUCGGGACGGUGGCCCGCGUGGCUCGGGUGCCAUGCGGCGCCCAUCCAGUGUCCUCAAAAAAAAAGGAGAAUUAAUGGGUGGAGCCCAACAAGUUGGUACAAAUCGCCAUUAAAUUAAGAUUAAAUAGUUCGGGACCGCUUGCGACACCAUGUCAUGUGGUUAUGAGCUAAUCACAAAAAUAUUUAAGUUUCUCUACUUGUCUCAUAUUUAAAUUUUAUAAUUUUUUUUAUAGGACAUACAAUAACGAAAUAGAUCUGGACCCUGUUAAAGAUAAAAAUAUAUAAACAUUAUUCUCUAAAAGUUUAAGCUUUUAGUAUCGUUUGGUUCGAGGAUAAGCAAAAAGUGACUAUUCCAGGGAUAGGUAUAAAUUGAGGUAUAAGCGGGGAUUAGAUCAAUUUUGCGUUUGGAUGAAAAUUGGAUUAUUUCUGAAAAUAAAUAUAAAUAAUAUGUAUUAAUAUAGUACAAUUAAUAAUUUUAUAAUAAAAAUAAUGUAUUAUAAUAUAUAACAUAUUAUAUUUAUAUAAUUAGUUUUAAUUCAAUUUAUAAUUUUAAUUAAAUUUGAAAUUAAGCAUUAGAAUAGUGCUAUUCCACCAAAAUGGUGGAAUAGCAAAUCCCUUGCUAUUCCGGAAUAACCGGAAAUAGCAAGGUUUGACCGGGAUAAAAUAUCCCGGCCAAAUUUCAUCCCAUUUGGCGGAAUAGCGGGGAUAACUUUUGUUAUCCCCGCUUAUCCCCCAACCAAACGGGGCCUUAAGGAAUUCACAUUGUGAUUGUUUGAUUGAUGGAUGGCCAUUACAUUGAAAUUGGUCUAUGCACUCUGUUUGGUUAAAACUAUUUGAGUAGUUCUCAUCAAGAAUCCCUACACAUUUUUUUUAUUAUAUUCAUUUCCUACUUUUAUUCUAUCUCUCCACACACACACACACACACACACACACACACACACCCCCUUCCCACCACCCCCUCCAAAUUUGGCUGAUAUUAAUGAAAAGGAAUUAUAACUAGUUGAGAGGAGAUUUUCGGCACUUUAGAAAAUAAGUGUGUAUGUUUGCUCUACCGUGUUAAUUUACUGAAAUUACUGUCAUUGUACAGGGUUAUGUGUAAUUCCAGUUGUAAGAACCUUUAGAACACAUCAACUUGUGUCAUACGUUGUUACGCCUUUUUGACAAAACGUAGGAAUAUUAUUUGAGUAGAGGUAUUUGAAGAAGUUGCAAGAUGUGUUUGUUUAGAGUAUUGUAGUUCCAUGGAUAGGAAAUAAGGAUAGUUUAUCCACUAUAAGAGGGCAAAGGGAAUUAUCUAGGCUAAUGGUUCCUUAUGAGAGUAGCAUAACUCCAUUCUAGCGUACAGUUUGAUAUCUCCUACUUAGUUCUAGUUGGGAAUUUAUCAAACUCAAAAGUACUUAACAGGAUAGCAGGGAUAUUGCCAUUAUCUUUCCAACUUGCAAAUGCUGAAUGUAAAUAUACUUGGCAUGGAGUUGAACAAAAAAACUUUUAAGUUAGACCAGCUUUUUAGGGAGCUCUUUUAGUCUUCGCACUAUGCUAGGAGCUCUAGAUUUUUUUUCUGUUUGCUAAACGUCUGACUUUUGCUUCUUGAGUAGAAUAACUUUUUUAGAAGUCAAACCAAUUAGGUAGUAUAUACUUUUGCAUAUGCUAACAAAAGUAUGUAUUCGAAAAAUAUUUGCUGAGCUAACCUGUGACAUUAGGAUGCUAGCACAAGUAUCACUGCUGUAUAUGCUGNCUAAUUCCUACUUAAUUACCAUUAGAAAAUAAAGAAGUGUACCUUAAUUUAUAUGAUUUUACUCCAACCACUUUUCAUCUACUAGCAUGCUCCAGUUCCCAAAUGUGUCCUGAAUUAGAAGACAAUCCAAAAUAUGAAGAGCCCGAGUUCGUUUCUUCAAAAAAUUUUCGGAAUUUUUGUAGAUUUAUUUGCGAAUUUUUCGGACAAAAAAAAUGGCUUAAUCUAAUUUAUUCUUUUUAUUUUUUUGGAAAAAUACGUAAACAGCCGAUUAAUUCGUUUCUUCAAAAAUUCGCGAAUUAUUCGCGAAUUUACUAUCUAAGCCUAUCGCUCUCAAAAACAAAAGAAAAAAAAAGAAUUUUUAUCAGAGCAUGUGUUGCACAACGGGCGGAGGAGUGAUAAGAAAAAUCUCAUAAAUUAUUAAUACUGAUAGUUACAAAUAUCUUUAUUAAAUUAUUAUAAAUAUUACAAAUAUCUUUAUUAAAGCGAUUAGUCUCUAUCCAAAAUAAUCGUGAUAGUUACAAAAUACUUAUUUUAUUAUUGCCUAUUAUAUAUCAUUUGUGUCGCUUAAAUAUUCUAUAGCUGAUAUUCAAAAUUUUUCAAAAAUGCCCUCUAGAUAUUUUAUCAAUAAUUUUCAUCAUCACGCAUACAUCACAUAAAUAAUUUAAAUUUUAAAAUUUAAAAUUAAAAGUAAAAAUUUAAAUUUAAAUUUAAAAUUUGAUAAAGAUCUGAAUUCAAAUUUUAAAUUGAAUUCAAAUUUUGAACUUAAAAUUGCAAGUCAAUUUUAAAUAUAAAUUUAAAUUUGAAAUUCAAAUUCAAAUUUAUAUUUUGAAUUUGAAUUUCAAAAUAAAACUUUGAAAUUAAAAAUAAAACUAAUUCAAAAUCUAGAUUGAAAGUAAAAUUAGUAUAAAAUCUUAAUUCGAUUUCAAUUGAAUUUGAAUUAUAUUCGAAUCCAAAAUCAAAAUUUAAAUUUUAAAUUUAUAAUUAAAAUUAGAUUAAAUUAAUAUUACAAUUCAAUAUUAUAAUGUAAAUUUGAGUGAGUCUAAGAUCGCAGUUUAAAUUGAAAAUUGAAUUAAAAAAUUCUAAUUAUAAAUUUUGGAAAUAUUUAGAGAUAAAAUGAUAUUUUAAAAUUUAAGUAGCAUUAAACUAGCUUCCAACUAAGAUUAGGAUAACACUCCGUGACGUGAGUUUACAUAAGAAAUAUUUAUGAUAUAACUCAUUCUAUUGGAAGAGCGUAUAUGAUAUUUUAAUAUUUUUAGAGGUGCCUGUGAUAGUUUAAGAUUUUGAAAAAUAGUUAUGAAACUGUCCCUGCAUUUCAAAAUUUGGAAAACUGAUCUCCCUGACUUGCGGAUUUCAUGUAGUACAAUUUUUUGACGGUGUUCUUAAUGCAAGUAACAAAUUAUAAGCAACUUUAAAGGAAAAAAAGUUACAUAUUUUUAGGGAUCGUAUUUUGGAAAUUUGAGGAUGAGUUUUUAGUUGUCCAGGUUUCACGCUUUGAUAAAUAAUAUGAUCAGAAGAAUCAUAAAUGGCGAUAGCUUACGUUUACCUACUUUUAUUAGAUAUAUAGUUUAAUAUAUUCUUUUUCCGCAUAAAAUUACUAAUUAAAUAAAACCAAUUGAUGCUCAAACUCUCUCUUCCUAUGGAAUAAAAAUAAAACAUAAAAAAGGAUAAAUUACGCUUUUGGUCCUCAAACUAUAAGAUAUAUGACACUUUAGUCUUCAAACUUUAAUGUGUUAUAAUAACUUAUGGCUCAAAGUAUGAGACACGUGACACUUUAGUCCUUAAAUUUUAAUUAGUUGUAAUUUCUGACUUACACUAAAGUUAAUUAAUUUAUUUAUUUCUACGAAAUCGAUCGGUUUUGUUCAAUCAGUAAUUUUAUUCGAUGUUAAACUAUAUAACAAAUUUUAUAAUGUCUAAUUGUUAAAAUUAAAAAUCGACCAAUCAUAUUUUAAAUAUUAAAAAAAUUAUAGAUGCAAAAUUGAUCUUUGAUCGGAUUGUAAUAUAAUAUUAAACUUUUAUAAUAAAAUCGUAUAAAAUUUGUCUAAACUAUAAACCAUUCUGAAUCAUCUAUUCAACCUUUUAAAAUUUUAUUCUUAUUAUCGAACUAUUCGAUACGUUAGAUUUUAAAAUUUAUAUAUAAAAGGUUUAUAUAUUUUAAAUUUUAUAAUAAAAGCCCGCCACGCCUCUCUCCCCCGGCCCCGCCCCAGCGUCUGCGACGUGGCUCAUAAGAGACAAUUGAAAUUAUUUCGGGGACCAUCCGAGUUAUUUUGCAGCCAAGGUUGGACGUGGAUUAAUGCGGCGAUAACUCAAAUUACCAUUACCAUACUAUAAAUCCGAGCAAGAAAUGUAUGGAACCCCCUGAACUAUAUGCCACUAUGAAAUAGCGCCUUCAAUCUACUUUUGUUUUUUCCCAUUUCGUGUUGAGUGAUUUUGGUGACUCACAGUAAUUAUGAUAAUUUUAUCAUAUUUAAUUUAUUUAGUUUACAUACUACGUACAAUUGGCAGUUUGUGCAACAAUUAAUCUAUUCAGCUUAUUUUAUUCAGCUUGUUUUAUUAUACUAUAUAUGUUGAGUAUCACAACGAUGAUCUUCUAGCUUAUUUUCACGAAACUUUGCAUCGGAAUUUAAUAAUCGUUUUAAAUAUUUUUUAACUUCUUAGAUUACGGUGGUAUUAAAGUGCAUUACCAUAUAUUUUUUUUUUGAGAAAAAAAUUUUAUNCAUUCCGUGCGUCUGUGCUAGCAGUUCUUGGCAUGACUCCAUGCCACUCCAUAAAUCCUUGCUUUUGUUGUUUACAAGGCUAAACUUCAAAAUCGGCACUGUGGUAUAGUGCAUUUUCGCGUUGGUGCACUAUGGAUUCUUUUCUAUCACAUAGGUGCCCUGAGUUUGGUAUUGAAAUUAUUCCUCAAGGACCUUUUUUCUAGCCCUGUUGGUAUUUGUGUGUGUUUCCAGUUCAAAUCGUUGUUGGCUCGGUUUUUUUAAGUCUAAACUCAACCGAGAACCCGAAUGCAAGCCCAUCUUAUAAGGGGUUUCUGAUUAAGUUUGAAUCAGAACACGACCUAAGCCCUGACCUAACACGACCCAACCUGUUUAUAUAUAUAUAUAUAUAUAUAUAUAUAUAUAUAUAUAUAUAUAUAUAUAUUCCAGUCAAUCUAUUUCUAGCAUACUGAGCACUAAUCCCUUCCGAUGCAUCCACUUAUCCCAUGCCAACCUUUCUUGUCCUUUGUUGGAUCGGAGAGUUGCAAUCAAGAGUGGGACAACUUUUCACUCCGUCCGCAAGAGUUGUUGUCGCUGCGCUUGCACCUCAUUUAUUGUUGUUGUAUGAUUGAAAUUAUUUAGGGCAUGUGUGGCACAACAUGAAUAAGAAUAAGAGUUUAUGCACAUAAAUUUAUAUAUAUAUAUAUAUAUAUAUAGAGUCCGGCUACUAUACUCUUAUGAGUAUGAUUGUCCUCGUACUUAUAAGUUGUUUUCGAUGAUAGAGCUUCCGAAUCGACGAUCCAUACUGUUAAAUAUUAUUUAGAGCAUUUAAAACGUAUAGAAAUUAAAUUUUAUAAUUUUUCGAUAUCAUUUACCUUACAAUCAAAAGGUCACAAAAUUGACAAUUUUUAACGGCCGGUAUGAAAUAUUUGUUAGUUAAACAGUAUAAAAGAAUCAAAAUAAGUUGAUUUUUUGAUAGAAAAUUCUAUUCAGUAUAUAGAUAAAGAUCAAUAGCUCCGAUCUUAAAUUGAAGGAUCCGAUCAUAAAUUUUUAAGACGUCGUUCGAUUUUGACAAUUCAUUUUAUACCCGCUUGAUGAACUUUAUUAUGAUUUCAAAAAAUUACGAAAUUUAUUUUCUAGAAAUUUUAAUAAACUAUAUUUAACGGAAUGGAUCGUCGAUUUGGAAGCUACAUCAUUGAAAACAACUUAUGAGUAUGUACGAAGUGUUCUAUACUCAUAAGAGUAUAGUAGCCCUAACAUAUAUAUAUAUAUAUAUAUAUAUAUAUAUAUAUAUAUAUAUAUAUAUAUAUAUAUAAAACUAGGCUGGUAUACUAUCGGUAGCACGGAGGCUGAUAUAUAUAUAUAUAAAAUAGAGCUUCUACAUUUUUAAAAGUACCAAGUUAUUGGUACUUAUAUAUUUUUUGCCAUUGAAAUAAGAGAUAUACGGUUAGAAUGAUGUGGGACCAUUAAAAUUGAGUGGUGGUUGGUUCGGAUGAAAAUAAUCAAAUGUAUAGAUCUAAUAGUAAAAAAUUUACAAGUAUCAAGUGUUUGAUACUUUUAAUGUACCAUAUAUGCAGAUUUCUGAGACGGUAAAAAUUUUGCUUUUGUCUAAAUAAAUGAAAGAUGGAAUGGUUAAUUUGAUUUGAAAUUUUGUUUUUCUCCCGUUCAACUCGUUACGUUCUACUGGUUACAUUCUAUAUAUUUGUAGUGGCGUUGAACCACACCGUACAUGUGAGUAAUUAAGAUACAACCUUAUUUUCUAUAGAUAUCUGAGAUUUGGGUAAAUAGCUCUACAUGUCUCUAAACUUAAAUUAGUUUUUAAACUUGUAAAUUUGGUAUAUAUUUAAGACCGGACUGUUUGAAUUAUAUCAUUCUAGUCCUUAUUCUGAAUAAAAAAAAACAAAAAGCGGUAAACUAUAGUAAAACCUUCCAGUACUGCAUGUAUCAGUUAACACCCUCAAUUUAAUUUUAAAUAUGUUGAAUGGGGAAAUUAAUUGCACUACUAAUUAAUUUCCAAACUUCUAUUUUAGUCCUCAAUUUUUAAGUUUCACAAUAUUUGGGACUCAUUGAAUGUUUCAUUCUAGCACUUAGUUAAAAAACUAAAAAAUAAAAAAAUAUAAGAGAGAAAGAGAAAAGCUAAAUUUGUAGAAAACCUCGCCCCUUUCAUAUGUUAGAUUUUAUACUUUAUUUUCUUCAAAUUAUCAGGCCAAAUCAUUCUGUACCGACUAAGAUUUGAUAUUAGAACCACUCACCCAAUCAUAAAAUAAGAAGCGAAAAAAGCUCUAUUAUCGUGUUAAAGAACUAGAAUAUAAUCUAAAAACUCAAACGGAGUGGUAAAAAUAACCUUCACAUUAUGUAUACUAUUUUAUUUUUAUCUAAAAAGAAUCUAAACACAAGUACUCUAAUAAUAUAAUUUUGUAUUUUGUAUUUCAAUUAUAUGCACUUUCUCUAUAUAUUGACCCUCACAUUACCCCAUAGAUAUUCAAAACAAAUAAAUCUACAAAAAUAUUAUUUUUGAGACAUUUUCCUAUCAUAAUGUUGUACUAGUGUAGAGACCCGCGCGAUACAGCGGGUAGAUAAUAGAAUCAAAACUUAAAAAUUUUAAUAAAAUUUAUAUUUAUAGUUUAUUAAAUUCAACUAUUAAAAAAAUAAAAUUAUAGCUUAUAACCCACACAUUGAUAAAAUAUUAAUAUGAUGCAUGUAAUUAAAUGUUGCACUUUACAUGUAAUUAGAGAAGUGGAGAGGUGAAGAGUUGGACGUUGAGAAGAGAAAAUAAUUUGAUUUAAAAUUGGGCUAUGAGAAUAAAGAAUAACAUAUGGCAAAAAAAAAAUUUUUAUGGUACAUGCAAAAGAGUUACAAAAAAGAGGGCUGAGAGAUUAAUGGAGAAGAGAAGUUGAUUAAAGUUAUAAAUCUCACUCGAUGAUAGAAUAUUAAUAUGGUGCAUAUAAUUAAAUCUUGUUACUUACAUGUAAUUAGAGGAGUGGAAAGGUAAAGAAUUGGGCGUUGAGAAAAGGAGAAGAUGAUUUAAUUUAAAGUUGAGUUAUGAAAACGAAAGCUAACAUGCCACGUGGCAAAAAAAAAUACAAAACUGUAACUUCAUAAAGAUUUAUUUAUAGAUUUAUAGAUGUGCACGUGCGUGACUUUUCAAAUUGUGUUGGACCAUCCCAAUUAUUUUGCAAACAACGUAUUCAAUGCGGUGACAACUCAAAUUUAAUUAUUGGAGCAAGAAAAUGUAUGGAAACCCCUAAACUAUAAGCGACUUUGAAAUAGCUCCUUUAAUCUGGUUUAAUUCUAUCGACUGUUUCUAGAGCAAAUGGUCGGUAUCCGAGACUCAAGUUCGAAUUCUAGUUGAUUCACAUUUCUAGCUAAGUUUAUUUCAAAAUGAAAUAAACGAAGCGGGUAACAUGCUAUCUUUCUCUCAAAAAAAAAAAAAAAAAUCUGGUUUAAUUCUCCCUCGCUGCCAUAUUUUAUAUUAGCUUAUGGUGUUGAGUCAAUGCUUUGAGGUGUCGCUAAUAUGUUUGUAUUCUCUCUUAAAUACGUAAUUAAUGCAAGAGAUAAACUACACCCCACUCAAGUUUUUUUUUUCCAUUCUAAUUAGCUGUCAAAGAUUAAUUAAAUAUAUGGACAGUUGAAAGAAACAUUUCUCUGCUUUUCUAUUUUUUCUAAAUCUCUUACAUUUUCUCUUAUAGAUAUACGCAUGUUACGAUAGUCUUUAUAGUUCCAGUUCUAUCACUGUAACAAAAUAUAUUUUAAAUAAUAUUUUUUAGACAACGCUCUAUUAUAAUAUCUUCAAUAUUUGGUAUAUAUCAACAGUAUGACUAAAUAUUGUUAAUAAAUAUAUUUUUAUUAAAAUACUGAUAAAUUUUUCGACGCUAUAUUAAAGCGUCUGUAUAUAUAUCCCAACAUAUUUACUUAACGACUCUUUAUUCGAUAUUUUUACAGGUGUCGAGAUUAUUCUUACUGAUGCUUUAAAAACGAUCUCGAAUUUUUGUAAGUAGUAUUUCGUGAUGGACUAUUGAUGCAUAUAAAAAAAAAUUAUGUGGUUUGAUACUUUAGUUUAAAUCUAUAGAUGAAGAUGGAGCGAAAAUUUUAUUAUAGCCAAAAGUGCAGAAGAUAAGAUUUAUGCCCAUUGUUCACCCUUAUCUUGACCACAUGUUGCGGUCUAGGUUCUGGGGUGAAGAAGAUCUGCAUUAUUGCGCUUAUGUAUGUACUAUUUUCUUGACAAUUUGGGCAAUAGAAUUAAGCUCGUAUGUUUUUAAUAGUGUAAGUUAUUGAUGUUUGUAAAUUUUCGAUCUUUGAGUUAAGGGAUGUGCGGUUUGAAUGAAAAUAAUCUUCUUAGGUUGAUUGGAUAGUUGGUUGAAUAGUAUAUAUGCUCUAACGAGUAAAAAUAGUUAAAAGGAUAAAUCUAACGGCAGAAAACUUAUAAGCACUAAGUACUUGCUACUUUUGAAAACAUCAUAGUCGGACUCUCGAGCAAUAUUAGUUUUUAUAAACCGAUGAAAAAUAGAUUUAAGUAAUUGAUACCGUAAAUUUGAAAUUGUAGAUGUCGUGUAGCUUUUCCAGUUUAUAUAGUUUGCUCAGUAUAUAUUUAUCGUUUAGUUUAUGAAUUCCAUUUUUGUCUACUUCAAUAUCAAUCGAUUAUCAUAUUAUUCAUAAAUAAAAAUGGUGAAUAAAAAAGUGAAAUUGUAUCGUGCAAUUUGUGAAUAUAUAUUUUUAAUUUACCUUCUUUAAAUUAGUAUAAUUAUUUUAUUUAAUAUUUGUACAAUUUAAUUACUUUCAAUUAAAUAUAUUUUGUUUGCUAUGCAUUAAUUUUACUGCUUUAUGAAAUUUUAAAGGUAAAAAUAUAUGGUUUAAUAAAAAAGGAUUGAUGAUUUGCAAUGGGCAAGGUAGAAAUAAUUUUAAAAGAGUUGUCACUAAUCUUAAUAUUUUGAAUAAUUUUUUUAAAAUUAGGUAAAUAUAUUUUUUUGGCAUUAUUAUUUUAGAAACGCUUCUAUGUAUAUUAUGUGACUGAGGAUCAGAAGGAAAAAUUUUAGAAUGCAACUGGUAUAUUGGUGACGUGGCGUAACAAACUAAUCAAAUAUCUGGUAUAUUGGUGACGUGGCGUAACAAACUAAUCAAAUAUCUCCUUUUAGAAGUAUAUAUGUUCCAUCAUGAUUGUAAAAAAAUAUCGAUUAGAAGAGGGUACGUAGUUUCGGGACCACCUCCAUAUUGGUUAUAAGAUUGGAAUUAUUGGCACAUGCACGUGUUACGUGUACGUAGCUCGAUCGGAAUAUAUAUAUAUAUAUAUAGAACAAUAAUACAUAAUUAGCAGUAUGGCACUAUUAGGUAAUAAAUAAUAUGAAGUAACGACGAAAUUAAGCGUGCUUAUAUGGAUAUGCUUCAGCAUUAAUUUUUCAAAUGGGACCGCAAAUUAUGAUGCAUGUAUUAUCUGCUUCAAACCUCUUCAUCAUCAAAUCAUCUGCUUCGCCGAGAGAAGCCAACGACGAAGCCCACAUCACAGAAAGAAACAAAAAAAGAAACAAUACUUGGUACUUGGAAGCCAUAGCUCACACUUACGACUAGUUUUGUUGCUGAGAGUAAGGUUCUCCGCAUCGAGUUUAUGUACAAGUUCUCGACCUACUAAUUAAAGUUGCUGGACCAUUAAUGGACGUGAGAGGUCAAUUAUUCGGGGCUAUUAUUAUUAUUAUUAUUAUACGAUAUCAUUAUUGGCGGCAAUUUGCACCGCUGGUCACUGAGCCCUAAUAGCUACAUUUGGUUUGGGAACAAAUUUUGAGUAAUAAUUCGUUUAUCGUUCCACCAACAAACGAUAUUUGGGAAUUAUCUAGAAUAAGCACUAAAUUACAUUUGGAUGCUGUUUAUUGAGUUGAGUUGAAAUGCUAUUAAUAGUCUUUAAAUUUUUUUACUAUCGAUUUUUUAAUUCUUAGAUUUAUAUUUUAAUUAAUUUCUUAUUUAGGUCAUGCUAUUGAAUUUUAUAGGGAUAUAUUUAUAAUUAGUUAUGUUUACAAAAAACUAUACGUAAUUAACCCUAAAUUUAAUUAAAUUUUAAUUUUAAAAUUUUUUUAGAGGAAAAGACACAGUUUUCAGUUUCGUUCAUUUUGUGGUUUUUGUUUUUUUUUAUUUUUAAAGUAAAAUCUUAUUAUGUAGAGAGUUGGUGCUAAUGUGCAUGUGAUGAAAUUUCAUUAAUUGAUUUCUCUCUUCCGUUGUUCGAUCGGAAUGCCGCAAUCAUGAGAGGGACAGCAUUCCAGUGCUCCAUACGCCAGAGUUAUUGUGGCUGAGCUUGCACCUCUAUGUGGGACAAAAAUUUUGCGGGCACCAUCCCUAAAUUAAUAAUUUGGGGACCGUGCAAAUGGGUGUCACGUGAUUGGUUCGACGGAUGCCAAUUUUUACUAUUUUUUAUCUCUCUUUAGAAAAAUAGUAUAAUUUUUUUUUUUUUUUUCAUUGAUGGCAGUCGGAUGGACCACGUGACGCCCAUCCGCAUGGUCCCUCUAUGUGUUGUCCUUGUAUGAUUGAUGAUUGAUAGUACAACAUGUCUGGCACAACAGAAUAAGAAUAAGAGCCGCACGUAAAUUUAAAAUGAUAUAUGUAAAUUAACAAAUAUUAUUAUUGUUUAGAAUAGGUGUUUCUUUUUUUUAAGAGGGAACUCACCAAAAAUAGAAAAUUUUCUAGAUAAUGGCCGUUCCCUGAUACGUCAAUGUAUUGAAGGUGUUUUCGAUAAUAAAAUUGAGAUCUAGUAAAGUACAUUUACUGAAUAUAUAUGAGCGACGAUUUGUGAUAAUUUAUCUCUUCCUUCAAAAUCGUGUAGAAAUUAGAUAGAUUUUCUUUUAAUCGAACCGCUUCCGUAUUGAUCUAUAUAUAUAUAAUGUGAUUUGAAUACUCAUAAAAGGGGAUGGUGUACCAUUGCCCACUUUUAACAUGCACAAGACAUAGACUAUAAGUAAAAUUUACUUUUGUCUAAAUAAACGAAAGAUGAAAUAAUUAAUUUGAUUUGAUUUGAAAUUUAUAGUGGUGUUGGACCACAACAUACAUCUGAGUAAUUUAGAUACGACCUUAUUUUCUGUAGAUAUAUGAGAUUCGGUUAAAUUGCACUACAUGUCUCUGAACUUAAAUUUAAUUUUCAAAAAUUUGAUAUAUAUUUAAGACCGGACUUUUUGAAUUAUAUCAUUCUAGUCCUUAUUCUGAAUAAAAAAUGGGGUUAAAUUAUAGUCAAACUUUUCCCUGCAUGUGUCAGUUUACACCCUCAAUUUUUAAAUAUGUUGAAUGGGUAAAUUGCACUACUACUUCCCAAACUUCUAUUUUAGUCGUCAAUUUUUAAGUUUCGCAAUAUUUAGGACUCGUUGAAUGUAUCAUUCUAGCCCUUAGUUCAAAAAAAUAAAAAAUAAAAAAUAAAAAACUAUCGGAGAGAAAGAGAAAAGCUAAAUUUGUAGAAAACCUCCAUACAAAAGUUGUAUUUUACACUUUAUUUUCUUCAAUAUUUAAACUAUCAGGCAAAAUUAUUAUAUACCGACUAAGAUUUUAUAUUACAAUCACUCGCCCAAUCAUAUAUUAAGAAGCGGAAAAAGAUCUAAUAUGGUGUUAAUUAAAGAACUUGAAUCUUAUCCAAAAUAAGCGGUAAAGAUAGAUAACCUUCACAUUAGGUGUACUAUUUUAUUUUUAUCUAGUAAGAAACUAUACACAAGUACUCUAAUAAUAUAAUGUCUUUUCUAUUUCAAUUAUAUGUACUUUCCAUAUUGAACCUCACAUUACUUCAUAAAUAUUCAAAACAAAUAAAUCUAAAAAAAAAUUUCUCAAAAAACAAUAUAAAAAAAUAUUAUUAUUGAGAUAUUUUCGUAUCAUAAAGUUGCAUGUGAAUGUGCAGGACUUUUCAAAUUGUCUCGGGGGCCAUCCCAAUUAUUUUGCUGCCAACGUAUUCAAUGCGGUGACAACCGACAUUUAAUUAUUGGAGCAAAAAAAUGUAAGGAAACCCCUAAACUAUAAGCCUCUUUGAAAUAGCUCCUUCAAUCUAGUUUUUCUCUCAUUGCCCUCUUUUAUAUUAGUUUAGAGUGUGUUUGGUUCCACCUAAAAUUAUUUCAAUUUUUUUUUGGCAGUUGAAAAGUAAAUUCUCGAUGUUUGAUUGUUUGCAAAAAAAAUUUCUCAAUUUUUUUUUUUUACAGAUUCAAUAGAACUGGAGGAUUUUGUUCUCUGCUUGUUUCGAGAGGAAAACGAAAACUUCAGCCGCGAAAAUACGUGGCGUUUCGGAAAGGCGGGGAUGUGUAUCACGUGGUCCAAAAGGUGACCUCCACCUCGUGGACUGCAUGAGAGUCUCUCCCCCUUUUCUUAUAUAUAUAUAGAGUCCGGCAGCUAUACUCUAAUUAUGAGAACGAUCGCCCUCCUACUCAUAAGUCGUUUUCGAUAAUAGAGUUUCCGAAUCGACAAUCCAUACCGUUAAACAUUAUCUACAGUAUUUAAAACUUCUAGAAAUCAAAUUCUAUAGUAGGUCUUGUGUGCUUUUAGAAGUACAAGGCCUUCAUACUGCUAAACCGUUUUCGAUGAUAGAGAUUCUAAAUUAACGAUCGAUUCCGUUAGACUUGAUUUAGCAUAUUUGAAAUAUCUAAAAAAUAAAUUUUACGAUUUUUCGAUAUCAUUUAUCUAACGAUCAAAAGAGUUCAAAAUCAACGGUUGAAAAUAAAAAUCUCACAAAAAGCGGUGAUAUGGACACUAAAAUUUUUGAUUAGAGAUAUUGAUCUUGCUAUAAAUAGUAUAAAUAAUUUUUUAUAAAAAUUUUAUCUGAUUUGAAUAAUUAUACACGGUUAAAUUUGCAAACAGUAUAUAUAUAUCAACAAUUAACAAUUAUUAAUUUUGAUCCCUUUCGAUCAUUAAGUAAAUGAUAUUAAAAAAUCACAAAAUUUAUUUUCUAAAUAUUUUAAAUACGCUAGAUCAAGUUUAACGGAGCUGAUCGUUAAUUCAAAAGCUCCAUCAUCAAAAAUAGUUUAGAAGCACAGAGGCUCGAUCCGUGCUUCUAAUAGCGUAGUUGAAAUAUUCAAAAACUCCAUCAUCAAUGAUCGGUGCGAAUUAAGGAAGAAAAAAUUCAACUUAUCUUACAAAAUUAUUUUGGGAAAUCCUCGCUGCACAAUUAGGCGAAUCCUAUGCCCAAAUGAACAUCAAGAGAUUGAUAAAAAAAAGGGAGAGCAAAGAAAUGGGUUUAAAAAAACACAAGGAGGGCCCCAAUCCACCUCUCCUCCACCCAAAUAAAUGUACGCGGUACCGCCACGUUGGAUUAAACUGUGAUUUUAUAAAUUUUUAUUAUAGAAGAUGUUAUCAACAAAAAAUUUUAAUUCUUAUAUUUUUUUAUAUAUAAAGUGAAAAUUUUUAUUUUAGUUUAUUUUAAUAUCUUUUCUGUGAAACAAUCGUUGUACUCUAAAAACUUAAAUUGUUAGAGAACGAUGUUUAAACAUUUUUUAUAUUUAACACUCCCCCUCACGUCUGGGCUUGAGACUUUUUAGUCGGCCCAUGACGUGAGCUUGAAUUAAAUGGGAGGAAAUUAAUAUGUUAGGAGUCUGGCGUGACUCCAACUCAAGACCUCCUGCUCUGAUUUAGAUGUGAAACAACUGUUGUACUCUAAAAGCUUAAACUGUUAGAGAACGGUGCUUAAACAUUUUUCAUAUUUAACACUCCCCCUCACGUCUGGGCUCGAGACUUUUUAGUCGGCCCAUGACGUGGGCUUGAAUUAAAUGGGAGUAAAUUAAUAUGCUAGGAGCCUGGCGUGACUCGAACUCAGGACCUCCUGCUCUGAUACCAUGUGAAACAUCCGUUGUACCCUAAAAGCUUAAGCUGUUAGAGAACGGUGUUUAAACAUUUUUUAUAUUUAACAUUUUCCUGCAUUUGAUUCAAAAUUUAUUACAAACUAAUAGGUUGAUGAUGUCUUCUGUUUUUAUUUAAUAUCUAAAUUUGAGGGCAGUGAGUACCCCAAUUUAAUUUUUUUAAUUCAAUAUCAUUUGAUUAUCAAAUUAUUCAUAAAUAAAAAUGGUGAAUAAAAAGUGAAAUUGUAUCGUACAAUUUGUGAAUAUAUAUUUUUAGUUUACCUUGUUUAAAUUAGUAUGAUUGUUUUAUUUAAUAUUUGUACAAUUUAAUUACGUUCAAUUAACUAUAUUUUGUUUGCUAUGCAUUUUACUGCAUUUAUGAAAUUUUAAAGGUAAAAAUUUAUAGUUUAAUCAAAAAGUAUUGAUGAUUGGCAUUGGGCAACGUAGAAAUUUUGAAAGAGUUGUCACUAAUCUUAAUAUUUUGAAUAAUUUUUUUUCAAAUUAGCUAAAUAUUUUUGGCAUUAUUAUUUUAGAAAAGCUUCUAUGUAUAUAAUGUGACAAAGGAUUAGAAGAGGGUACGUAGAUAUGAUGUUAUUCCUAGGUAAUACACUAAUUACCUUAACUCUUUGAAUGGUUCAUAAGGCGGAAACAUUUUGAUAAUUAAUAUAAAGGGUACAACUCGAUCUUUCUUUCUUUUUUUUUCUUUUUUUUCUUUUUUUUUUUUUGAGAAAAGGUAGUGAAGCUACCUGCUUCAUUCAUUAGGCUAAAUAAACUAAGCAUAUAUGAUUGAGGCAACUAAGGCCUCCGGAAGGGUCUUGAAGAAAAACAAAAUAAAUGGAAAAAAAAGGAAAAAAAAGAAAAAAGACAAAAAAGUAGACAACAGUGAAUAAACCUUACUAAAAACGGUCGUCCCAAUAAGGUACCAAAACAGGGUGCGCGGUCGAGUCAAAGUGCGUCAGCCCAGUCUUUGAUCAAGUAAGUGACACGUUCGAUGGCCCGGGCAGCGUUAGAACGUGUAUCGCGAAAAAUAAUAUUAUUACGUUCCGUCCAUACCACCAACCAGAUUGCCUCUAGAUGAGCCCGGCUUUGACUCGAUCAUUACUAGGCUUUGACUCGAUCAUUACUCCGGUACAUUCUAGUUUUGUAUACUCCAGCUCCGAGGAGAACACAACGCUCGUUUCCGAGAUGCAGAACAAAUUAAACAGAUGCUGUAGCAUCAUGUCACGUUUCAAAUUGUUUCGUGACCACCUCAAUAUAUGUUCACUUUUUUGUACACAUGGUUACUGCAGAUUGAACCAGCACGUGACCGAUACGUACGUUUAGUCCCCAUUAAGAUUGGAAUUAUUGGCACAUGCACGUGUUAGGUGUACGUAGCUCGAUCGGAAUAUAGAACAAUAAUACAUAAUUAGUAUGGCACUAUUAGGUAAUAAAUAACAUGAAGUAACGACGAAAGCAAGCUUAUAUGGAUAUGUUUCAGCACUUUUCAAAUGGGAUGGCAAAUUAUGAUGUACGAAAUAUAUUAUUACAUACAAAAAUAAAUAAAAUAUUUAUUUAUCAUAUUUUUUCUUUACAGGUGGCACAAUCUUUCAAUAAUUUCAAACAAAGCGUUAGUGUAUUAGAAUUUUAAUUCUUGAAUGAGAAAUUGUUGGAUUAAAAUGAUAUUAGUAUCUUAGAGUUGAGUGAUUCCUCUAAAGUUGAGUGGUUCCUACUGAAUUAUAAUAUUUAAUUCAAUAAUUUAAAAUAAUAAAAAGAAUUGAUCCAAAAAACCUAUAGCAAAAAUGGCCUUUUGGUAUCAAUAGUAUUCUAUCCCAUCUCUCUCUCUCUCUCUCUCUCUCUUUCUCUCUCUCUCUCUAUAUAUAUAUAUAUAUAUAUAUAUGAAUCAGGCUGGGAUACUAUCAAUAGGACCAAGCGUUUAGUGCUAUCAAGUUUUUCACUGUUAGAUUUAACUCUUUGACUAUUUUUAUCUGUUAGAUUAUACUAUUAAACCGAUAACUUAUUCAACCCUAGGAGGCCCACAUUAUUUUAACCGUAUAUUUUUUCAUCCAAGGACCGAAAAUCUAAUAGCACCAAUAGUUUGGUGCUAUUGAUAAUAUUCCAGCCUAGUUCUAUAUGCACACACAGGUCUUGUGUGCUAUUAGGAGCACAGAAGUCUUCGUGCUCCUAAGUCAUUUUUUAUGAUGAAGUUUUUGAAUCGACGAUCGAUUCCAUUAGACUUGAUUUAUCUAUUUAAAAUAUUUAGAAAAUAAAUUUUAAAGAAAGCGCUAGUGGAUUAGCAUUUAGCGAGUUAGAUUUCAAUUUCUUACCUCACAUGUAGUGUGUGGGCUUAGAUUUCAACUUCUUACCUCACAUCUAGUGUGUGGGCAUGUACGUAAUUGCACCGCACAGAGCAAUAUAGAUGCACAAUUCUAUUAACUGCUACAGGCUUUACAUACCAUUACUUGAUGAUCUUAUUCGGAUAAAAAUUUGCUAGGCAUCAUCCCCAAAUUAUAAGUUGGGGGACGAUGCGGAUGUGUGCCGCAUCGCCCUUCCGACACGCGCCCAUGGAAGGAAAAAAAAAAAAUGGCGCCCUGUGUUUAUAUAGAGAGAGAGAGUGAGAGAGAGAGAGAGAGCAGAGGGAGGGAGGAGAGUGAUCGUCGGAUGGGUCAGGCGGCGCCCAUCUGUAUCAUCUAGUUUGGAGACCAUGCCCAGCAACUUUUUGUCCAACUUACUCAUCAAAACAGCAUAAACUUACAAAAUUAAAUACAAACAGUUGGCUACUAAAUAUAUAUUAGGCAGCCAGUGGAACUGAUAAUAAUGCAACAAAAAUACAAAUGAAAACAGCAAGCCCUACUCGAUCAUACAGAUAAUCUUCGCACGAGCAUCGCCCGAUUUAUUACAUAGCUUAUAAGGUACGUAGCACACAGGGCACUUCAUUGCAUGCUAAAUCGCAGCUUCGAUAACCCUUACAUGGAGCUGACACGAUCAUCCGAACCCAUGUCAGAGGGUUCUGUAAUGCGCGGUGACGAAACAAGAGUCGGGUAAAUACCAUAGCUAGCCAGACCACAUAAUCCAGGAUAUGCCGUGUCUCUUAACAUCCUCACGUAUCCAUUUUCUCCCCACCUGUUGCCCCAUGAAUUCUUUAUUAUCCAAUACUUGUCUCCGGUGCUGCUGUCCUGCCCGUAACCUACGACGGUAACGGCAUGGAAAAUAUUUGUCCCACAAGGUCCUUUAAAGAUACCGCCAUUGUAGUAAUUGAAGUAAUAAGAGCUAGCAUCAAUAGCAAUAACUGUCGGCUGGUUCGCCACAGCAUACAUGAUCGCGCGUUCAUCGUAGCUAGGUUGUACAUAUUGAUAGCCGGUAAUAUAAGCUGCAUUCGGUUUGUUAUUUCUGCAAGUGCCUUUGUAUCCUACAUAGGGAUAGUUCGCCUCCGUCGUCACGCCCUUGUUAGCGAUGAUAAAUUCGUAGGCUUUGUGUACCCAACCAGAUGUGCACGCGUUGCUAACAGUACAAUCUAAAACUUCUUGCUCCGAUAGAGAUAUUAGUUGCCCUGUUUUAAUCUUGUAGAUGCCUUCUACCGUCGCGAUUGAAGAGAAUGCCCAGCAAGAACCUAUUUCAAAACAUAUAUUCAAGUUAGCACAACUCGUACAAGCAAAAGUUACGUAGAUUGUUAAUUAAGAUGUAAGAAGAACAUUCAAACAAGUAUGGACAAGGUCAAACAGAUGAUUACUGUGUUACUUUAUGCUUACUUGAGUGAAAAUGAUUAAUGUUGUCAUACUUCUUGUCGGAAAUUAAUUUUUCUAAAAACUUAAUUAAACUACUGAAGAACGAUUUCUAAUUAUUAAGAAUUAAUACUUCUUAUUAUGUCUAAUCUACAAAUGUACAUAUAGUAGGUGAUAACAUGUGUUCGUACACUUUUAGCUAGUCUGAGACAUGAACUUUGCAUUCAAAUGCGGUGGAGGUUUGGUUCUUUUGUCCACAUAAAUGGCUAAUGGAAUGGUGAGAUUUGGGCCCAAGGCAUCCUAUUCUCAUGAGGUUAAUUAAAAAAAUAACAUUUAUUAAGGUUCAGGCUGCUAUAGCUAGAAAUUAAUGCGCUUUAGUUCUCUAAACUCUACACUUGGUUCUUACCGCAAGUUCCUUGAUUCUUGACUGGUGUUACGGCACCGUAAUCCCUCCAAUCAAUGCUUUGAGGUAUCGCGGACAUGUUUACAUCCUCAAACGACACCGAUGGCUCUAAAUUUGUCAUAUUUAGAGGGAGAGAUAGACCGACAUGCUGAGCCACGAUUUCAUCAUUUGUCAUGUCAGCGAAUUGAUUAAUGCCCAGAGUAUACGAGUUGCCGCCGCGCCUGUUGAAGGCUUCAAUGCGGUUCACAUUGUCCUUAAAGAUCUCAAAACGGCGCAUCUUCUCAGCAUCGUCACUGUAAACUCGGCCGAAAUCGGCCAUCCAUUCAUCAAACCUCUUCAUCAUCGAAUCAUCUGCUUCACCGCGAGAAGCCAACGGCGAAGCCCACAGCACAGAAAGAAACAGAAAGAGAAACAAUACUUGGAAUCUGGAAGCCAUAGCUCUGACUUACAAAUGCUUUUUUUGCUGAGAGUAAGGCUCUCCUCAUCGAGUUUAUAUAGUAGUUCUCGGCCUAUGUACGUACUAAAGUUGCUGGACCAUUAUUGGACGAGAGGUCCAUUAUUGGGGGCUAUUAUACGAGAUCAUUAUUGGCGGCAAUAAUAGCUUCAUUUGGUUUGAGAACAAUUUUUGAGUAAUAAUUUUUUAUCGUUCCAGUAACAAAUGGUAUUCCGGAAUUACAUUUCGAUACUGUUUAUUUUGUUGAGCUGGAAUACUCUAUAUUAAUAGUAUUUAAAUUUUUUCGCUAUUAUUUUUUUAACCGUAAGAUCUAUAUUUUAAUUAAUUCCACCAUUUAAAUUAUACUAUUCAAAUAGCUACCCAUUCAAUGCUAAGAAGGACCACGAUCAUUCUAAUUCUAUAACUUUUCAUCAAAAAAUUAGAUAAUCGAUAGUAAAAUAGUCAAAUACUAAUAAUAAUAUUUCAGCUCAAUUCUUAUUUAUUUGUUCUGAAAUGAUAUUAUUUUUUUUUUUUUAGUGAGAAAGGUAGCACGAUACCCGCUUCAUUCAACAGAACGAUGAAUUAGGCUACAAGAGUGGGGCAGCCAAGCCCCGGGCGAAGGCGCAAACAAAAAAUAAAAAAAAAAAAAACAACAACAACGCACGCACACACUUAGGAGAGAGGAAAGAAUCCCACUCCGACACUAAUAGCUUGAGCCUCUGGACAGCUAACCCCGGAUUUGGUUGGCAAUUCCUGAAUAUCCAAUUGUUCCUCACCUUUCAAAUAGUCCACCAGCAGCCUGCCAGAUCAGUAAGUCUGGUUCUCUUCUUGUGCUGAUCCUUUCUAUCCGACCACUUUUCCCAGACGAGUUCCACGUCGUCCCCCAGGUCCUGGGCCUAGAUAUCGUCCACCUCUGAAACUAUGAUGAACUUGGUAAAUAUGCACCUACUGAACAAGUGAUCCACGGUUUCCACUUCCGCCCCACAAAGUACACAGGUAGGGUCGUCCGCCAGCCCUCUCAAAACUAGUUUAUCACGAGUAAGAUUCCUUUUCUUGAGUACCAACCAACAAAAUACUUUGUUUUUCAAAAGGAUUUUCAGGUUCCAGAUCCUGGAUACGCGUACAUCUCUCACACUCUCAAAAACACCAUGAGGUUAGUGCUUUUGAUAUUAUUAGUAUGUGGAUAUUUUAUGUUUGAAUAAGGUAUUGAAAUGAUUAAAAAUGUAUGAAAUAUCAGUUUUGCCCUUAUAUAUAUAUAAUAAUCAAAAUAAGAGUUGAGCUAGAAUACUCUCAAAAGCACCAUGAGGUUAGUGCUUUUGAGUUUUUAACUCUUGGAUGAAAAAAUGUAAGAUUGGGAUGAUGGUAGUAGGUGGUGGUAGGUGGAAUAGUGUUUGAUCUAAGGGCUAUUAGUAAUCAAUGAAUAGACUUAAGGGCUAGAAACCUAAAAGCAUCAAGGGGGUGAUACUUCUAAAAGUAUUCUAGCUCAAUUCAUGAAAAUAAACAUAAAUUAUUAAAAAGCUAAAAAUAUUAUAUUUGUCUCGAUUAUCAAAUUAAAUAUUAAUUUUUUUUAGAGAGAUAGAUAGCACGCUACCCGCUUCGUUUAUUUCCUCUAUAAAUAAACUUAGCUAGAAAUAUAAAUCAACUAGGAUUCGAACUUGGAUCUCGGAUACCAACCACCAAGCCCUUUGCCACUUGUUCUAGGGACGAUCAAUAUCUUUUAAAUGUGAAUCAAAUUUUAAAUAUUAAUUAAUUAUAAUUUAGAAAUAAACUUAGCUAGAAAUAUGAAUCAAAUUAAAUAUUAAUUAAUUACAAUUUAGGUACUUUUUUUUCUCCCUAAAGAAAAACUAGAAGCAAAUUAUUAGCAAAGAAAACACCAUUUUUUGAAUAGAAAAUAAAAAUAAUUCCCACAAUAAAUAAAAAUUAAUUCUCAACCAAAAAAUAAAUUGAUUAAUUUGGAAGAACGAGCUCGGCGACGGAGGCGUUGUUCUCAAAAGUUAGAUCUCCCUGGUGGGAGAACCAAGCUUAACGAGUUAUUAAGAUAUAAUUCGUAAAGUCCUCUACAAGAUCAGCUUUCAAUUCUCUCUUUUUUUUUUUCUUUUUUUUUUCUUUUUUCCUAUAAGUUUAAGAAUAUCUUCCUCGUUCCGGAAAUAUUCCCGAAACAAACUCUUAGUCUCUCUAUUUCAUCAUGAUGCCAUAUGAAUGCAAUGUAUAACCCCGAACCAAACACGGGCUAAAUUUACUACCAUAUAUGUGUUUAGUUCUAUCUUUUAUUUAAAGAUUAUAAUUUUUUUCUUUCUGUAGUUAAAACAAAUUUUACAUGUCUCAUGAUUUCCUACAAGUUGUAAAGGGCUAAGUGGUUGGUACCCGAGGUUCCAAAUUUGAGUCCUAAUUAAUUCACAUUUUAAGUUAAGUUUAUUUCUAAAUAAAAUAAACGAAGCGGGUACUACUUAUCUCUAUAAAAAAAAACUAUUUUGUCGAAAUAUAUUAUAAAGUCACCUGUUAAUGCAGCUAAAAAUAUUCCCAACAUUCAAUGGAUGAUAUAUAGGUAUAGCGUUGUUAAAAGGAGCUUUUUAUCUGAUAAAUGAUCGAGUUGAAUAUAUUUGCUCAUCAAAUUUUAAUAGACGCAAGGCAUAGUCUAUAAAUGUAUAGCCUAUAAAUGUAGUUUAGUAAAAGUAAAAUUACUUUUGUCCAAAUAAAUAGAUGGAACUAUAAGAUUUGAUUUUUUUUUUUUUUUUCUUACUGGGUUCGUUCUAUUUAUGGCCGCAUAGGACCGUACCACGAUAUUCUUGUUGGUUAUUCAGAUCCAACAUUAUUUGUUGUAUAUAUUUAAUAAUUGGAUAAAUUACACUACUGGUCUCUAAGAGGUAGUGAAUUUGCAACCCACCUUAAUAUCGCUUGUUGUGAAUAGAGUAUUCACUUUUAUAACAAUUGUUAAGAUUUCAUAAUGAGAGCAUUAAAGCGAAUAUUUACUAUAAAUCCAUUUUUUCAGCAAAAACUGAUCUUAGUAGUCCAAGAAAAGAGAGAAAAAAAAUCAAAUAAAAAUAAAAGUGAAAUAAUAUUCACUAACUAAAAGUGUAGAACGCAGGGGAAGUAUUCGUUUAUACCUUUUUGCGGAAGUGAUUCGCGCUACAAUGCGACGAGUCCGGAUUAUAGAGGUUGAUUCAUGUAUCCUUGGAUCGUCCUUACAGGUCUUCUAAUGUUCCAAACUCGCGGUGGAUCGAACUACAAACGAGCACGAUCGCAAAUCCACCGUUUAAGACCCUCUAGAAUAGUUGGUUAAUGGAGAAUGUGGUUUUUAUGUUUUUUUCUACGUUUUUCUCUUAGUUUUCUUAUUCUCUUUCUUAUUCUCUUGUUCUUAUUUUUAAUGUGAGAUCACCCGCAUAUUUAUAAGAGUUUCCAAAAUCCUAAUAGGUGCGUAAGAGAUAAGACCAAAUCGGCUAUUAAUUGAUAUCCUAAUAUGAUUAGAAUUUAUUUUUAAUUAGCUUUUCAAUUUAAAAGCGAGAUUAAUUCUAAUCCAGUUAGACAAUAUAAUAACUGUCGGAUCGAGUCCGAUCAUGGAUGCACCCAAUUCGAUUUAAUCGGAUGCCAACAAAAAAAAUAAUUAUAUCCUACUCUUCUGCGCGGAGUAAUUUCAAUUCGAGCUCUCUUUGCAAAUCUCUCUCACCACUUUCUCGUCCUCUAAUCUAACGGCGUCUCUUCUGUGCACGCGUGUACAAAAUGCACAAACGACUCACAGUAUAACAAAAGCGGCCCGCACACAUUGAUGAACAGAAUUACCAACUGGACCAUACUAGGCCAGACAAAACUGUAGAUUAAUUACUCGGCCUUUUUUUGACACCCCGGGCUGUUUGCUUCCAGGAAAAAAUAUCUAGAAAAAUUUAGAGGAAAGAAGUUUUUACAUGAAAAAUUCUUAUUUAAGUUUUCCGCUCGUUUGUUUUCAAGAUAUAUUAGAAUUUUUUUUUAUUUUUUUCUUAAGUUCAUGAAAAACUAGUAUUUUUAUUUUUUAAAUUUUUUUUAGAAAACGAUAAUACUAGUUNUUUUUUUUUUUUUUUUUUUUUUUUUUUUUUUGUAAAAUCUGGAAUAAUAGAGUUUUCUGAUAAAACUGGUUUCUUUGGGACUGAAUGGAGAAACUAGUAAUGUGUGUUAAUUAGUGACACAUUUAUUUUGUAUUAGUGCUAGAGGCCUGAGCCUAGAGGUGGCCUCACACAGUACUUAUUCAAGUUCCCGCUGUGUCAUCCUGACCCAAAUGUUCCUGAACCAUGGUCCAGCCCCACUAGUUUGGACCGCACGUACAUUAUCAGGCCACGGUCCGAUCCUAUUUGCUUUUACAUUUUUUAAUAUAUUUUUAAACUUUCAUUUUUAAGAUUAUAUUGUUUAAGUUUUUAAUAUAUUGAUAUAGUUAUUCAUUCAAUAAGUAGGGAUUUUAUAACUUUUUAAUAUCACUAGUCAAAAUUUAAAUAGUUUCAAUUAUGUCUGAGAGAUAAAAAAAAUAAUUACAAAUACUAAAAGAAAAUAAAACAAAAUAGAAAUUUACGAUAACAUAGCUAACACCGGCGAAAUUAUGUCGAUUGCUCAGACAUAAUAAAACAUUUUUUUUUAAGAGAUAAGUAGCAUGCUACUCGCUUUAUUUAUUUCAUUUAGAAAUAAAUUUAGCUAGAAAUAUGAAUCAACUAGGAUUCGAACUUAGAUAAUGUAGCUUAUUAUUUGGAGCUGUUUUUUUUCCCCUUGUUUUCACUAGUAUAGCUUGCCUAUAUUAUAGAGGUCACGUUGUUUGUUUGGUUUUUUUUUUUUUUUUGAGAGAGAGAUAUAAGUAGCAUACUAUCCGCUUCAUUUAUUUCAUUUAGAAAAUAAACUUAGCUAGAAAUAUGAAUCAACUAAGAUUCGAACUCGAGACCUCAGAUACCAACUAUUAAGUAUUUUGCCACUUGCGCUAGAAACGGUCGGUAUAGAGGUCACAUUGUUAUCUACUUGGUUUUGGUGAAUAGGGAUGAUUAAGAAUACGAUCAAAUUAACAUCUUGGGCAAAAAUUAAUUAAUCUAAAAUGCUUAAUUAUAUAGUUUAUUGCGCCUAUAUUAAUCUUGACAUUUGUUACAACACCAUUAUCUUUCCAAUCAACGCUCUGAGCUAGGUACCGCGGACAUGUUAACAUCCUCAAAUUAACGUCAUUUAUAGAGUCUGAUCUAAUAUUUCGUGGGAUAUAUAAUUAAACCAGUGUGUUGAGCUACAAACUCAACGUUUGCUUUAUAAGCAAAUUGAUUAAUGCCAAGAGUAUAGGAAUUUCUAGAUAGGCAUCGAUAUGGUCGACAUUGUUCUUAAUUAAAGAUCUAAAACCGGUGCAAUUUUUCAUCUUCGUCAUUGCAAAACUACUCAAUCUGACUCGACCAUCCAUUCUUCGAACUUCCUCGGAAUCAUCGGGUUCGCCAUGGAAGGCUGCCAACGGCGAAGCCCACAUCACACAAACAAACUGGAAAAGAAACAAAGCUAACUUGGAAUAAAUGUGGAAGUCAUAUACAUGGCACUAAUUAAAAAGCAGCUAUAUUUAGAAAGGCAUUUGUUGGUGCGGAACAAGGUCCUACCAUCGAGUUUAAGUAUCGUUGACUGAUUCAAAUUAAAUAAAUUGAAAGAUUGAAUAGUAAAUUAGAAUUUUGAAAGAUUAGAUAGCUGAUUCAAGGUGAUCAAUAAUUCAGAGAUAAGCUGCAUACUUUUUUACCGACAAAGAAAUAAAUCCUAACCCUAAAUGCGCGCGCACGUGCACAGUUUUCCUGUAAUAAGCACUAGUUCGUACUCGAUCGGGGUAAUUAAGCAACACACUUUUAAUACUCGAUCAUAUUCUUAUCAAGUCAUAGUAGAAUACACGUACGUCACAACACACGAACGAAUUGAUAUAUAAUAUCAUAAACAUUCAAACAACAUCCAAUACAGAGGACACUCGAUCGUGAGGGCGAGAAUCGCUCAAAUUGGAAGACACGUACGAGGAAUUAACACGAACCAUUUAAGCACGCAGAAUCCAAACAAGUUAACUCAAUCUCCACGCGCACGUCGACGUUAUUUAGUAGCUAUACGAGUUUAUAGUGUCGCGAACGGAUCGAUCGAUCACUUCAUCAAAGCCGAAUUAUAUAUGCAUACAUAGCUAGCUUUGAUCUGAAUUAUAUAGCGCUUAUGCCAUCAGAUCCCACGUCGGCGAGCUCGAGAGGAGUCGAGUUGAUAAUCGGGAUGACCGGCUGCUGGGCAAUACCACAUAAUCCUUCAACUGAAGAGACAUCUCUUUCCAAACGCCCGAACCCAUUUUCGCCCCAGUUUUUUCCCCACGAGUUCUUCAGUAUCCAAUACUUCUCUCCGGUAUUACUGUCCUCGCCAUAACCUAUGAUGGCGACGACAUGGUUGACUGCAGUUCCGCAAGGUCCCUUAAAGAUGCCACCGCCGACGUAAAGCUGGAAGUCCCUGGUGGCUUCGAGAUAGGAAGCUACCGGUUGCUUCGACACGGCAACCUUAAGACUGGUUUCGUUGUUUCUAGGCAGAUGUUGAUAAGCGUCGAUGUAAGCCGCAUUCGGCACGAUGUUGGACUCACAAUUGCGUUGAACUCCUGUAUAGGGAUAGGAAGACUCGGUUGCCACACCUCCAUUCCGUAUGAUGAAUUUGUAGGCUUGGUGCGCCCAGCCUCCACCUAUGCACCCGCUGCCAACGCUGCAAUCCAUAACCUCCUGUUCUGAUAGGGAUAUCAGUGCUCCUUUUUUGAUCUUGUAGAUUCCUUCCACCGUCGCAAUCGCAGCGAACGCCCAGCAAGUUUCUAUUCAAAAUUAAGGUUCACUUUAGCAUUUGCAAGAGAAAUUAAUUAUGUCCGUUAUUAAUUAAUUAAUUAAUUACGACAAAAGAAAGUAUAUACGCCACUUAUUAAGACAUAAUAAUAAUAAUAAUUAUGUAAUAACAUUUAAAUCUAUAUAAGAGAACCGUAUUAUUAUUAUCAUUAAAUUAUUAUUGUUGGGUACAAAUAGCGGUAAUAACUAAUAACUUUUUUUUUGUUAUUAGUACGCAUGCAGCACAAUAAAAUAAUAUGUAUUAUAAUAUAUAAUAUGUUAAAAUAUAAUAUCUUUUAUUAUAUUUAUAUAUUUACAUAGAGCUAGGCACCAAUACUAUCUAUAAUAGCAGGCUCCAGUACUAUAGUCUUGUCUUCAAUCUUACAAUAUUCAAAUUAAUGAUUCAUCCCGUUAAAACCUGGUCCAGCGUAUUUGAAGUUUUUAAAAGUAAAAUUUUAUAUUUUUUCGAUAUAGUUUACUUUAUGAUCAAAUCAUUUGAUAGAAAAUAUUUUAAACUAUCUAUAUCAAUAUCAACAUCCUUAAUCUUGAAUUUAAAAAUUCUAUCCUCAAAUUUUAAAGUUUAUUCAAUUUCAACCGUUCAUUUUGAUAUGCUUUACUUACUAAGUAAACAAUGUCGAAAAAAAUUAAAAUUUUAUUUUUUAGAACUUCAUAAAUUCUAGAUUAUAUAUAACAGUGUGGAUCAUUGAUUUGAACAUUUUAAGAUCGAAAAUAAGAUUAUAAUACUAGAGUAUCGACACUAUAUAUAGUAUAAUAGCCUAAUUCCGUUUAUAUAUAGGUAUUAUUGGGGGACGGUUUAUAAUUAUCAAGUUUCACUAUCUCACAUUCUCAUCCCAUAUCUGAUAUGAUUAUAUGAUAUAAUGCCCGCACACUGUUGGUGGGCUUAAGACAUAAACUUUCAAUUUAAAUGUGAAAAAAUUAUUUAUCUAAGGCAGAUGGAAUGGUAGACCGAGCACAUUUGUUCUAGUGUACGUUAACAUUUAUUGUUUCCGAAAACAAAGAAUAUUUUGGUACAAGAUAAAACAAUUGUAAAUAUGUAUUUGGAUACAUUCGAAGAUAUUUUAGAAGAUAUUCUUCGUAGCGUUUAGAUAAAAAAUCUAGAACAAUAUUUAAAUAUAUUUUUAAAAAUAAAAUAAUUAAUUUAUAUUAGUAUAUUUUAUAUAAAAUUAUUUCAUAUAGUAAUUUAUAAUAUAAUAUUUUAUGUAAUAAUUUAAUUUAAAAUAGCAUAUUUAUGUUAAUAUAUAUAAUAAUUUAUUUUCUAUAAUAAUUUAUUUUAUAUAAUUUAUUUAUAAUAUAUGUAAGGAAUAAAGUAUAAUACUAACAAUAUCCUUAUAAUUUUAAUUAAUAAUAUUAUAAAUUUUAAUACAAAUUAAAAAUAUUUGUAAUAUAUGAAAAAUGAUUUUAUAUAUAAAAUACUUAAUAUUAAAUAAAAUAAUUAAAUAUUAAUAAAUAAAUAAUAAAACUUAAUAAAAUAAAUAAUAUAUCAAAUUUAAUUAAUUUAUAUUAUAUAAUAAAAUUUAAGUAUAAAUAUAUUAUCAUAAAAAUAUUAAUAUAUUUAUNAUAUAUAUAUAUAAAGAGAAGAACAAAGUUGUGUUUAGUUUUCCUUCGAACCAUUUUUAACGGAUUGUUCCAGAAUAACCUGCUUUUAGCGGAACAACCCAUUCUCUUUAGUUCUUCCAUCGGUUGGUUAUAAAUUGGAGGAUAUACCGUCUUGUUCCAGAAUAUCUCCGAUACCAAAUACAGCCUAGAGGAAUAGUAAUGUAUUUCCUAUUCAAACUUUGGUUCCUAGGAGGAGAACUUUGUGGAAAAAAUGGAUUACUAUAAAAGGUACUAUGAAACUUUUUGAAAGAUUCAAGACAUGAAAAUUAAUUUUAAAAAAUGGAAUAAUGAGGUUAGAAGACUAUUGGAAUUUUAACUUAGGGCGUCCUAAACUGCUAAGUAGAUUAAAUUCUGAUGGCAUACCAUGUUAGACCGUCAAUUAAUUGAUUAUUUCUAAUAACUUAGGCUUUUAUUGAUAAUUAGUUGUUUUACAAAAUUAAGCUGAUUUAAUUACUAUAUUAUAGUCAACACUUCUUACCGCAUGUGCCUUGUUGUUUGACUUCUGUCACUGCAUCAUAGUCCCUCCAAUCUAUACUAUCGGGCACUGCGGACAUGUUUACAUCCUCAAAGGACGUCAAGGGCGCCUCUUGCUUCACGUUUAGGGGGAUAGAAGCACUGGUGUACUUACUCAGAAAUUCAUCAAAUGUCAUAUCAGCAAAUUGGUUGGUGCCGAGAGUGUACGAGUUUCCGCUCCGAUUAUUGAAGGUUUCAAUAUAGUUCACGUUAUCCUGAAAUAUCUGAAACCGCCGCCACUUCUCCGCAUCAUCUGCAUAAACACGGCCGAACCGAGCCAUCCAUUCUUCGAACCUCUGCAUCAUGGGAUGACUAGGAGAAGUUGCCCGGGGCGAAGCCCACAUCAGAGAAACAACCAUGUAAAAAAACAAGAGUAGAUAUUUGGAACCCAUGUGUAGCAGUACUAAUAAUAGCAGCUGCACUUGGAAGGGAGACUAUUUAUAUGAUCUAGCUUUCGUUGUGAGGAUGAGCUUCUCGCAUCGAGCUUAUAUAUAUAUAUAUAUAUACACUCAUAUAUAUAGAAGUGCGCGAUUGCUACAUGGAGUAUUAGUGGGAGAUAGAUGUGGACCAUUAUCGAAGGAAAAUAAUUGCCUUUCCUGUUUAAUAAUUAGUUGAGGGAUCCAACACUAGCUUGAUAGGUAAUUAGAAUUAGAUAGGUACAUUAAUUCAUAUCCGUUUUUAUUAACGUAAAGCUAUAUAUAGAUCCAUGGUUCGUACCCUCAAAUCAAUCUUUAAAAAUAAGGAUUGAACCCAGUUCUUAAAUUAUUGUCUAAUUCUAGACUUAUUAGAUAGCAUUCUAUUUUGAAGGAUCAAUUUCUUGUAUACUCCUGUAAGGACUGAGCCCUUGAUGAUUAAUAUCUAAGGUCUCAAAUUCGAACUUUAGUUAUUUUAUAUUUCUAGCAGAGUACAUUUCUAUAAAGCUAAACGAAGCUGAUAACUUGUUACCAUUCACUUUCUCAAAAAAAAAAAAAAAAAAGAAGAGAAAACUAAAAGGUUACUAAUAAGAUAAUAGCAGUAAUAAUAGUACAAGGAAAUGUAUAGAGUUCCUCUUGAUCAAUUAUUAGCUAUGACAAAUGAAUGAUUGGAUCAUUGAGGAAAAAAAAAANAUAUAUAUAUAUAUAUAUAUAUAUAUAUAUAUAUAAUGAAAACUCUAUUCAAACAUAUAUUUUUGGGAUGUAUGAUAUACACCUAUUCUUUCUAAGGUGCUAGUAGAAUCCAUUCCAUCUUUAAAAUGGAUGGGUGUAUAUCAUACAUCCUAAAUAGGGAUGUAUGUUUAGUAUUACUCUUUUGAAAUAUUUCUAGCCCCAUCAAUUGAGUUUACAUAUUUUAACUUUUAAGUUGAGUUAUCAUUUUAGCAAAAUAUUUUAAGAAUUUUCAGAAUUUUUCAAUAUUUCCAUGAAAUUUUAUAAUCUCAAUUACUUUUUAAAAUUAGUAUAAUUAAUUGCUAUAUAUCUGAUAGAGUGCUUUUUUAAAUUAAAUUCAUUUUUUUAGUUAAAUAACUAGGAAUUUUUAAAGUGAAAAUAUAAGAUGGCAAUUUUAAAAUGUCUUAUAUACAUUUGAGGAGGCCUCCGUUCAUCCAUUUAGUGGGUAGGCCUCCGUGCAUUUUUCUCAUUUAAUGAAAAUUUGAACUGAAAUUAUACUUAGAUAUUCUUGCCAUAACAACAUUCUAAAAAAAAAGAAAAUGUAUUUUGAUAUAGUUCCGACACAGACUUUGAAAAAAUAAAAAAAUUGACAAUUUUAUUGGUAGAUGUGAUGCGUUUGUAAAUUUAACGGUAUAAAAUAAUUCAAAUCUGAUGAAAUUUUUAUAGAAAAUUUUUUUCACUAUUUAGAGUAAGAUCAAUACCUCUAAUCUUAAAUUCAAAUCUUUUGUCAUCAUUUUUUAUGAGAUUUUUAUUUUCAAUCAUUAACUUUUAGACUACUCAUUUGAUAGGUAAUGAUGCCAAAAAAUUAUGAAAUUUAGCUUCAAAAUACUUUAAAUAAUGUAGAUCAACUCGAGCAGAGCCGAUCGUUGAUUUGGAAGCCGCACCAUUAAAAAUAACUUGGUAGCACGGAGGUCUCCAUGCUACCGAUAGUAUACCAGCCUUGCUUUCUUUCUCUCUCUAUAUAUAUAUAUAUAGAGAGAGAGAGAGAGUCCAGUUGUGAUACUAUCGAUAGCACCAAGGACUUAGUGCUAUUGAGUUUUCUACCGUUAAAUUUAACCGUUUGGUUAUUUUUACUCAUUAGAUUAUACUAUUCAAUCAACCACCCACUCAACUCUAGGGGACCCACAUCAUCCUAACCGCAUAUUUCUCAAUCCAAUGGCUAAAAAACUAAUAACACCAAUAACUUUGUGCUAUUGAUAGUGUUCCAGCCUAAUUUUAUCAAUAACAUUAAAUUAUUGGUGUUAUUAAAUUUUCAGUUAUUGAAUGAAAAAAAUAUACGGUUAUGAUGAUGCGGGCUCCUCGAGAAUUGAGUGAGUAAUUAGUGAGUUGUUAGUUGAGUUAUUAGUUGAAUCGGUCAAACUGGAAGCCACGAGGAACACGAACCACUUAAGCACGCAGAAUACAUAACGCACACAUCCAAACAAGUUAACUCGAUCUCCACGCACACGUCGACGUUAUUUAGUAGCUGUCGAGUUUAUCGUGUCGCGAGCAGAUCGAUCGAUCACUUCAUAUAUAGCUGAAUUAUACAUCGCUUCGAUCUGAAUUAUACAGCGCUUAUGCCAUCAGAUCCCACGUCGGAGAGUUCGAGAGGAGUCGAGUUGAUAAUCGGGAUGAGCGGCCACUCGGCAAUACCACAUAAUCCUUCAACUGCAGCGACAUCUCUUUCCAAACGCCCGAACCCCUUUUCGCCCCAGUUUUUUCCCCACGAGUUCUUCAGUAUCCAAUAUUUAUCUCCGGUAUUACUGUCCUCGCCAUAACCUAUAAUGGUGACGGCAUGGUUGACUGCAGUUCCGCAGGGUCCCUUAAAGACGCCACCGUUGUAAAGCUGGAAGUCCUUGGUGGCUUCGACAGCGGAGGCUACCGGUUGCUUCGACACGGCAACCUUAAGACUGGCUUCGUUCUUUCUAGGCAGAAACUUGUAAGCGUCGAUUUCAGCUGCAUUCGGCACGAUGUUGGACUCGCAAUUGCCUAGAACUCCUGUAUAGGGAUAGGAAGACUCGGUUGUCACACCUCCAUUCCGUAUGAUGAAUUUGUAGGCUUGGUGCACCCAGCCUCCACCUUUGCACCCGCUGCUAACGCUGCAAUCCAGAACCUCCUGCUCUGAUAGGGAUAUCAGUGCUCCUUUUUUGAUCUUGUAGAUUCCUUCCACCGUCGCAAUCGCAGUGAACGCCCAGCAAGAUUCUAUUCGAAAGAAAAAUUUUACUAUAGCAUUUGCAAGAGAAAUAUAUAUAUAUAUAUGUCCGUUAUUAAUUAAUUAAGGCAAAAGAAAUUAUAUAUGUCAUUUAUUAAGACAUAAUUAUGUAAUAAUAUUUAAAUCUAUAAGAAACCCGUAUUAUUGUUAUCAUUAAAUUAUUAUUGUUGAGUACAAAUCGUACUAAUAAAUAAUAAUUUUUUUUUAUUGUUGUUGUUAUUAGUACUUAGCACAAUAAAAUAAUUUGUAUUAAAAUAUAUAAUAUGUUAAAAUAUAUUAUCUUUUAUUAUAUUUAUACAUUUAUAUAGAGCUAAGCUCCUAUACUAUCUAUAAUACCAGUCUUUGAUACUAUAGUCUUGUUUUCAACUUUAAAAUAUUCGAAUUAAUGAUUCAUGCCGUUAAAAACUGAUUUAGGGUAUUUGAAGUUUUUGAAAUAAAAUUUUAUAUUUUUUCGAUGGAUUGCUUAUGAUCAAAUCAUUUAAAAAUUAUCAAUUUUCAAUGACUAGUAUGGUGAGUUUGUAAUAUAUAUAACGGUAUAAAAAAUUCUAAAUUUAUUCAUAUUUUUAUAAAAAAAAUAUUUUAAACUAUUUAGAUCAAGAUCAACAUACUUAAUCUUGAAUUUAAAAGUUCUAUCCUCAAAUUUUAAAAUUUGUUCAAUUUUAACUGUUCAUUUUAAUAUGAUUUACUUACUAAGUAAAUAAUGUCAAAAAAAGUUAAAAUUUUAUUUUUAAGAAUUUUAUAUAUUCUAAAUCAUAUGUUACGUUGUGGAUUAUUGAUUUGAACAUCUUAAGAUCGAAAAUAAAACUAUAAUACCGGAAGCAUCGAUACUAUAUAUAGUAUAAUAGCCUAAUUUCGUUUAUAUAUAUAUAUAUAUAUAUAUAUACUAUUGGGGACGGUUUAUAAUUAUCACAUUUGACGGUCUCACCCCAUAUCUGAUAUGAAGACACAUGAUAUAUGAUAUAAUGCCCGCACACUGUUGUUGGGCUUAAGACAUAAACUUUCAAUUUAAAUGUGAAAAAAUUAUUUAUCUAAGGCAGAUGGAAUGGUAGGCCGAGCACAUUUUGUUCUUGUGUUAACAAGGGCUGCGUUUGGUUGAAAAACUAAAUUUUGUAAAACAACUUUUGUUAUUCCCGAGAACAAAAAAUAUUUCGGUAAAAGAUAGAAUCAUUGUAAAUUUGUGUUUGGAUACAUUUGGAGAUAUUUUAAAAAAUAUUCUUACUAGCGUUUGAAUAAAAAGUCUAGAAUAAUAUUUAAAUAUAUUUUUAAAAAUAAAAUAAUUAAUUUAUAUUAGUAUAUUUUAUAUAAAACUAUUUCAUAUAUUAAUUUAUAAUAUAAUAUUUUAUGUAAUAAUUUAAUUUAAAAUAGCAUAUUUAUUUUAAUAUAUAUAAUAAUUUAUUUUAUAUAAUUUAUUCAUAAUAUAUGUUAUGAAUAAAGUAUAAUACUAAUAAUAUCCUUAUAAUUUUAAUUACUAAUAUCAUAAAUUUCAAUACAAAUUAAUAAAUAUAUAUCAUGUAUGAAAAAUUGAUUAUAUAUACAAUACUUAAUAUUAAAUAAAAUAACAAAAUAUUAAUAUAUAAACGAUAAAACAAAAUAAAAUAAAUAAUAUAUCAAAUUUAAUUAAUUUAUAUUAUAUAAUAAAAUUUAGGUAUAAAUAUAUCAUCAUAAACAUAAUAUUUAUAUUAAUAUAUUUAUUUAUAUAUCUAUUUAUCUAAUAAAAUAAAAAGAAGAACAAAUUUAUUCUUAGUUUCCCUUCGAACAAUUUUUAACAAGUUGUCCCAGAACAAUCCGUUUUGAUCGGAACAACCCCUUUUUUUCAUCUUUCACCAUUUGGUUACAAAUUAGGAAUAUGCCGUUUUAUUCCAGAAAAUCUCCAGUGCAAACGCAGCCUAGCUAGAGGAAUAGUAAUAAAUUUCCUAUUCAAACUUUGGUUCCUACGAGAGAGAUCUUUGUGAAAAAAAUGGAUUACUAUAAAAGGUACUAAUAAAAUGUUACUUUAAAUACCAUACUUUCUAAACUUUCUUCUAUUUAGGCUCGAAAUUUAUUUGACACAUCCAAGACACAAAAAUUAAUAAAAUGAAAGAGAAUUAAAUGAGGUUAAUUAGAAGCCUACUGGAAUUUUAACUCAGGGCCUCCUAAACUGCUAAUUAAGUAGAUUUAGUACUCAUGGCGUACAUGUUAGACAGUUAAUUAAUUGAUUAUUUCUAAAAACUUAGGCUUUUAUUGAUAAUUAGUUGUUUUACAAAAUUAAGCUGCUUUAAUUAAUAUAUUAUAGUCAACACUGCUUACCGCAUGUGCCUUGUUGUUUGACUUCUGUCACAGCAUCAAAGUCCCUCCAAUCUAUACUGUCGGGCACCGCGGACACGUUUACAUCCUCAAAGGACGUCAAGGGCGCCUCUUGCUUCAAGUCUAGGGGGAUAGAAGCACCGGUGUACUUACCCAGAAAUUCAUCAAAUGUCAUAUCAGCAAAUUGGUUAGUGCCGAGAGUGUACGAGUUUCCGCUUCGAUUAUUGAAGGUUUCGAUAUAGUUCACGUUAUCCUGAAAUAUCUGAAACCGCCGCCACUUCUCAGCAUCAUUUGUAUAAACACGACCGAACCGAGCCAUCCAUUCUUCGAACCUCUGCAUCAUGGGAUGACUAGGAGAAGCUGCCCGGGGCGAAGCCCACAUCAAAGAAACAACCAUGUAAAAGAACAAGAGAAGAUAUUUGGAACCCAUGUGUAGGAGAAGCUGCACUUGGAAUGGAGACUAUAUGAUCUAAUGAGGAUACGCUUCUCGUAUCGAGCUUAUACAUAUAUAUAGAAGUGCGUGAUUGCUACAUGGAGUAUUAAUUAGUGGGAGAUCGAUGCUGUGGAACAUUAUUGAAGGAAAAUAAUCGCCUUUCCUCUCUAAUAAUUAGUUUGAGGGAUCCAACGCUAGCUAGAUAUAGGUAAUUUAGAAUUAGAUAGGUACAUUCAUAUCCUUUUAUUAUCGUAAAAGCUAUAUCUAGAUCGAUGGUUCGUACCCUCAAAUCAAUCUUUAAAAAUAAGGAUUGCACCCAAUUCUUAAAUUAUUGUCUAAUUCUAGACUUAUUAGACAGCAUUAUAUUUUGAAGGAUCAAUUUCUUUAUAUACUCCUGUAAUGACUGAGCCCUUGAUGAUUAAUAUCUAAGAUCUCAAAUUCGAACUUUAGUUAUUUUAUAUUUCUCGCAGAGUUCAUUUCUAUAAAACAAAACGAAACUCAUAGCUUCCGACCCUUCUCUUUCUCAUAAACAAAAAAAAAAAGAAAAACAAAAAAAAAAACCUAAAAUGCUACAGAUAAAUAGUCGCAGUAAUAAUAGUACAAAGAAAUGUGAGAGUCUCUUGAUCAAUUAUGGCUAAUGACAAAUGAAAGAUUGGAUCAUUGAGGGAAAAAAUAUAUUGAAUCCCCUCCAUCAAUUAUAGACCAUUGCUCUUUGAUAAUAUAUAUAUAUAUAUAUAUAUAUAUAUAUAUAUAUAUAUAUAUAUAUAUAUAUAUAUAAUAAAAACUCUAUUCAUACAUUUUUUUUUAGGGUGUAUGAUGUACACCUACCCUUUCUAGGAUGCUAGUAGAAUCCAUCCCAUCUUAGAAUGGGUGGAUGUAUAUCAUACAUCCACACUUAGAAUAGGUGCGUGUAUAUCAUACAUGCUAAAUAGGGAUGUAUAUUUAGUAGGGAAAAUUUCAUAGAUGCCCCUGUAGGAGACCGAAAUUUCAUCAAUAGCCCUCUAAAAUUCAAAAUAUCAUGAAUGCCCUUCUAAAUUUAAAAAAUAUUCAUGAAUACCCCUACAGGUUAUGUACCGUUAGAAUCUAACGGAAUAAGGUGUAAAUACCAUUUCUGCCCUUGCACUGCUCCUUAACUAUAGGGAUAAUAUCACAGAUGCCCUUCUAGAAAUAGUUAAUUUCAUUAAUACCUAUCAAAAAUUGAUAAUAACACGAAUACUCUCCAACAUAUUAAAAAUUAUCACAAAUGCCCUCCACUAGUUAAUAUCCGUUAAAAUCAUUAAAUUUUUAAAAUAUCAUUUUUACCCUUUAUCUCUUAUCAAUAAUAGAAACACUAAUAGGUAUUUCAAGAUAAUUUUUAUAAAUCUAAAUUUGACUAUUUAAUAUAUAAAUAUUAAAUUAAUUUUUAAAUGAUAUAUAAAAAUUGUAUUUUAUAUAUAGUAUGUUUUUAUAUGGUUUUGGUUUUGUUUUUGGCUUCGAGUUUUGGUUCAAAUUCGAUUUGGAUAUAGACCAAAAUCAUAACUAAAUUUAAAUACGAUGAGAGUUCAUUUUUUUGUACUUAUAAUUGAAACUAUCCCGCUCAGCAUCGAUUAAGCUCAUCUCAUUCAAAAUUGAGUUCACAUAAAAUUGUAUACCUAUAUCAUUUCACAUUCCUAAUCAGUAAUAGUAAUUUGAAAUAAAUUAUAGAUUUUAUGUUUUUCCUAUUUAAUCAAAAAUAAAUUACAUAACUAUAUCAAUAUGCAUGCUUUUUUUAUUGAUUUUUUUAAAAAAAGAGAAUUUUGUUCAAAAGCUUAAAUAUAUUAUAUUUCAGUUUUUAAUGCAUUUAAUGCAGAUAAAAUUAUUGAGAAUAAUUUAAGCUUCCAAAAUUAAAGAAAGAUCGAAAAAUCCUCAACAUUUACUUUUAUUUAAUUUUUUAUACAUAGUUAAAAUAAAUGGAGCCACUAGAUUUGGUGAAAUCAUAAAAACCUUGAUAAAAUUUUUAUUUUUCAUACACUAAAAUUAGUUAAUUUUUUAAAAAACCAAAAGUUAAUGGGAUGUUAACUUAAAAAAAUAAAAGUUGAGGGAGCCAUUGAGGGGCUCUCCAUACAUUUUUAUUAAAGAGAUAGGUGAGGGUAAAUAGGUCAUUUUAAAAGUUAACCCAUCUUUAACCAUUAAACAACUAUGGUAAAGGUAAUAUAACUAACUGUAGGGGUAUGGGUGAUACUUUUUUAUAUUUAUAGGGGCAUAUAUGAUAUUUUAAACUUUAUAGUGGCAUCCAUGAUAUUUUCAGCUUUAGGAGGGUUAUCUAUGAAAUUGCCCCUAUUUAGUAUUACUCUUUUGAAAUAUUUCUAGCCCCAUCAAUUGAGUUUACAUACUUUAAUUUUAAGUUGAGUUAUCGUUUUAGUAAAAUAUUAAUUGUAAGAAUUUUCAGAAUUUUUAAAUAGUUCCAUCAAAUUUAUAAUCUCAAUUACUUUUUAAAAUUAGUAUAAUUAAUUGCUACAUAUCUGAUAGAGUGCUUGUUUAAAUUAGAUUCAUUUUUUUACUUAAAUAACUAGGAAUUUUUAAAGUGAAAAAUAUAAGUUGGCAAUUUUAAAAUGUCUUAUAUACAUUUGAGGAGGCCUCCGUUCAUCCAUUUAGUGGGUAGGCCUCCGUGCAUUUUUCUCAUUUAAUGAAAAUUUGAACUGAAAUUAUACUUAGAUAUUCUUGCGAUAACAACAUUCUAAAAAAAAAAUGUAUUUUGAUAUAGAUCUGAUACAGACUUUGGAAAAAAAAAAAAAAAAAAAGGUUCUUUGAUAUACUUAUCAUAUCAAUAUUCCUAAACAAUAAAUAAAUAAAUAAAGAUAUAGGUCCGAUAACAUAUUUGCUUACCUUUUUUUGUUACUGAAAAAUUUUCUGUUGGUCUUUGCAUUCAGAGAAAAAAAUGCUUAGUGUAUGUAUAUAUAUACACUAGAGUUAUUAUGUAUCCAGAAAAAUAAAGAUCUAGAAUUUGGUAAUUUUAAUUUUUUUGCCCUUAGAUCAAGAAUUAUAGAGUUGGGAUUAUAGUGGUCCCACCCUAAGAUUUAAUGGUCUCCUUAGCGGAAUAAUAUUAAUUCAAGAGUUAGAAAUGGUCAAAAUUUUGAUUAAAGAUUAAAAAUUGAAACCACCAAAUUAAUGAGUCCAUUCUCCCAACCCUUUAAAUUGUUAUGAUUGUGUCCUUAACCUCUUACACAAUUUUCAAUUGAGUACUUUCGCUCUCAAUUGUUGCAAUUAGAUCCUUAACUUGUUUCAUUAGUAUAUAUACAUGGUAUGAUUCAUGCAGUCGAAGUACUUGUUAAAAAAUAGGUCUUAUAAACGCUUAAAAUGUAGUGGAGAGGCAGGUUUAAAUUAUAUCUAGAUUUAACAUUUCAUUUAAAAUCAAAUCUGAAACUCAUAAUAGUUCAUAACAUGUCGUCACAAACUUUUAGCAGGUCCAAGACAAGAACUAAGUUAAAAUGGGUGGAAUUUUGAUUCUUUUUCUCCAAAUAACACAACAAUUUUUUGUGUAAAAGCGUCCGCCGCUCCAUAUAUAGCAUAUCUCAUCGGAAAAAAAAAAACAUUUUUAAAUUUCUUUUUUGUAUGCAUAUAUAGUAUAAGAUGAUAAGUAUUUUAAUUUUUGAUGAAUACGUACAAUUUUUUAAAAUAAUAUAAAUAAGUUAUAUAUGGUGAAUAAUUUAUUUUUAAAAAAUAUAUGAACUAUUAAUAAAAUAUAUUAACUUUUAUUCAUUUGAAAAAUAUAAUAAUAUUUUAGCAAAAUUAAUAUUUUAUAUAUAAAAAAAUAUAUUAUAUUAUAUUAAUAAUAUUAUAUUUUAUUAUAAGCGGUGUCUUGCUAUACCGCAUCCGUAUCUUACUUUCCAAAAACUGCUAAGUCAUCGUGUCCGAACUGUGUCGUAUUUCGUAUUUUGUGUCCGUGUUUCGUGUAUGUACCGGUGAUGCCUAACUAGCUAGCUAGCUAGCUAGAGAAAAUUGUCGAGCUUUAAUCAUCUAUAUAUAUAUAUAUAUAUAUAUAUAUAUAUAUAUAUAUAUAUAUAUAUAUAUAUAUAUAUAUAUAUAUAUAUAUAUAUAUAUCACACACGUAGUUCAUCACAGUAGUAAUAAGCAGCACACUUUUAAUUACUACUUGAUAUUCUUACUAGCUAGUCAAAGCAGAAUACACAUCGAUCACAACAUACAUAUACAAAUGGCUUGAUCAUAAUACGAUAAUUAUUCAAACUUGCGAAGGAACGCGACAAGGUGAGGAUCACUUGAUCAAAUUGGUAAUAAACGACGAGGAACUCGAAGCACCUCCUUAAUUAUUUGUUAUAUAUUGGUAGGGAACGAUCGCUUCAUAUAUAUAUAUAGCUAAAUCGCAGCUUCAACCUUAUGCAGAGCUUCUUAGGCUAUCAGAUCCAACAACGGCGCCGGCGAGUUCCGUAGGAGCAGUUGAUGUGAUAGUUGGGUAAACUAGCUGCUUGGUAAGACCGCAUAAUCCAGAUUUGGAAGCGACAUCUUUUUCCAAUCUCAUGAAGCCAUUUUCUCCCCAGUUUGUACCCCAUGAAUUCUUUAUUAUCCAAUACUUAUCUCCAGUACUGUUGUCCGCUCCAUAACCUAUGACAGUGAUGGCAUGGUUAAUCAUAACUCCGCAAGGUCCUUUAUAGAUACCGCCGGUGUAAAGCUGGAAUUUCUUAUCUGCUUCGACGGCCGCGGCAACCGGUUGCUGCGACACGGCGUUCAUAAGUUUACUUUCACUGCGAGGCAGAAACUUGUAACCGGUUAUAGAAGCUGCAUUGGGCACGAUGUUGGAAGCGCAAUUGCCUUGAACUUCUUUGUAGGGAUACGAAGCUUCCGUUGCCACGCCUUUGUUAGAUAUGAUGAAAUCGUAGCCUUUGUGCACCCAGCCUCCGCCUUUGCACCCAUAACUAACGCUGCAAUCCAGAACCUCCUGCUCUGAUAGAGGUAUCAGCGAUCCUUUUUUAAUCUUGUAGAUUCCUUCCACCGUCGCAAUUGCAGUGAAUGCCCAGCAGGAUUCUACUCCGAAAACAAAGAUUCAAUUAAUUGUUUAGCAUUUACAAUAGAAAUUAUGUCCGUUAUUAAGACAUAAUUAUGAAAACAUCCAAACAAUAGGUUUUCUUUUUCUCUUUCUUUUUUUUCCAAGAGAAAGGUAGCAAGUUGCCUCCUUCCUAUAUUUUUUUAAAAUAAAUAAAUUUAGAAAGAAAUUUAAAAUAAUUAAAUUUUGAAUUUGGAAUCUCGAAUAUCAACCGGCAAACUUUUAGCCAACUGCACUAGAUACGAUCGGCAGCAAAACUAAUUAGAAGUUAUUACGAAACCAAAACGUACUGCUUCUAACAAUCUCCUAAGAAGUGAAUUCCCACAGCAGAUAUAUAUCCUCUUGAAAAGAGGAUGGCCAAGUGAUUAACAUUGCGGUUUAUAAUAAAUUAAUUUUACAAUAAUUUAUUUUUAUUAAAUUAUAUUUUAUAUCAAAUUCAAUUAUUAUAUUUUUUUUUCACUAUCCUCUGCUAAUUAAUCAAACACAAUUUUAACUAUUUCUGAGAAUAGCAACAUUACAAACUAAAUAUAAUUUUAUUUUUAUUCUUGAUUAGCUCUUGAAUAGUAAAUUAUUCCAGAGAUAAAAAAAAUUUAUUCUAAUGUUUGUUAUCCUGAAACCAAAUAGGACCUUAUUAGUGCAUUCCAAUAGCAUAGACUACUGUUUUGUAAUUAGGUACACUUCUUUUUUCGGGGCGUGCGCGCUUAUUUUAGGUCUAUUUUUAGGUCAAAAAAUGAACUUCUUAAUGAUAUAUACUUGGUUGUAUUCACCAGUAUCAGCAAACAGUAACUUAUUGCACAGCAAGGCUAACUUCAUUUCAUGUGUUUCAAGUACCUUUUCGAGGAUAUUUAUUCACGUGCUUAUUUAAUUUCAAUGCUAGCUACAGUGAAGGUCCGUACUAUUCAAAACUUUUCUUGGGAAAAGGAACUCUAAAAGGAGACCAUAUAAAUUUGUUUUACUGAUAAUGCAUGAAAUGGUCUCUCUUUUUUUUUUUCCAAAAUAAACACGUCCAAUUAAUUCUUAUCACGUACGCUACUACCCUGUGACACUUCAUUUCGUUCGAGUACAAGCAAGAAUUAUUUAUUUUAGAAAUAGAUACAAAUUUUGAAAUUUACGUUUAGAUAAAAAUUGAGUUGUUCUCGAAAAUAAAAAAAAAAUAACGUUUGAAUAGAUAAGAUACAAUAAAAAAAAUAUUGAAUAGUUAUAAAUAGAAAAUAAUGAUAUUAUUCCUUAUAUUAUAUUUAAAUUAAUAUUUUAUAUUUUAUAUUUAAAUUUUUAAAUUUAAAUAUAUAAUUUUUAAAUUUUUAAAUUUAAAUUUAAAAUUUAAAAUCUCGAAUUCGAGAGUUUGAGCUAGCUAGGAGGGUCUUGUUCUAAUGUUAACUGUUAAAUAUAAAAAUGUUUAAACACCGUUCUCUAACAAUUUAAGCUUUUGAGUACAACGGUUGUUUCACAUGCUAUUAAUUUCCUUCCAUUUAAUUCAAGCCCACGUCAUGGCCGAUUAAAAAGUCUCGAGCCCAGACGUGAGGGGGACUACUAUGCUAUCGAAAGCACGGAGCCUUCCGUGCUUCCAGCUCGUUUUCGAUGUUGCAACUUUCGAAUUGUCGAUCGGCUCCGUUAAACUUGAUCUAGAGUAUUUGGAGUAUCUAGAAAAUAAAUUUUAUUAUUUUUUGAUAUCAUUUGCCUAGUGAUCGAAUGGGCUCAAAAUCAACAAAUUUCAAUGGCCGUAGUGUGCUGUUUGCAAGUUUAACGGUGUAGAAAUAUCUAAAUCACGUGAAAUUUUGAUAGAAAAUUCUUUAUACUAUAUAAAACAAGAUCAAUAUCUUUGAUUUAAAAUUUUAAUGUCAUAUUAUUACAUUUUGUAAGAUUUUUAUUUUCAGCCGUUGAUUUUGAGCCCCUUCGUUCACUAGGCAAAUGAUAUCGUAAAAUCAUAAAAUUUAUUUUCUAGGUACUUCAAAUACUCUAGAUCAAGUUUAACGGAGCCGAUCGACGAUUCGAAAGUCGCAACAUCGAAAACGAGCUAGAAGCACGGAAGGCUCCGUGCUUCCGAUAGCAUAGUAGCCUCACUCUAUAUAUAUAUAUAUAUAUAUAUAUAUAUAUAUAUAUAAAUAAUACGUACUUAACACUUCUUACGGUGUAUGCCUUAUUGUUUGACUUUUAUGAUAACAUUAUAGUCCCUCCAAUCUAUACUUUGAGGCACUGAGGACAUUUUACGUUCUCAAAUUAUGUCAACGGCGCCUCUGACUUCAUAUUUAGAGGGACUGAUUUUAUGUUCAUGGCAUGUCAUGUUAGAAUGUCGCUUAUCUUUAAAAACUUAAACUUACAUGUGAAACUAGCUAGUUGCUUUACAAAAGGACACUGCUUUAAUAUAUAUUACAUUUAACAUUUCUUACCGCAUCACUUAAUGAAUGAAGCAGGUAGCAGCUUGCUACCUAUUUCUUAAAAAAAAAUACUUCUUACCGCAUGUGCCUUGUUGUUUGACUUCAGUGACGGCACCAUGGUCCCUCCAAUCUAUGCUCUUAGGCACCGCGGAUAUAUUUACAUCCUCAAAUGAUGUCAAGGUCAAUGUCUCUGACUUCAUUUUUAGAGGGACAGAUGUACCGGUGUACUUAGCUAGAAAUUCAUCAAAUGUCAUAUCAGCAAAUUGGUUAGUGCCGAGAGUGUACGAGUUCCCGCUUCGAUUAUUGAAGGAUUCGAUAUAGUUCACGUUAUCCUGAAAUAUCUGGAACCGCCGCCACUUCUCCGCAUCGUCUGUAUAAACACGAUGGAACCGAGCCAUCCAUUCUUCGAACCUCCGCAUCAUGGGAUCAUCCGGUAGGCUACGAGAAGCUGCCCGUGGCGAAGCCAACAUUACAGAAACAACCAUGUAAAAUAACACAAGUUGAAAUUUGGAACCCAUAAUAUCACCUACACUUUGGAAUGGUUUAAUUUCGUUUGUGUGGAUGAGCUCCUUGCCAAAUCGAGCUUAUAUAGAAGUUCGUGACUACAACUAGAAGCAUUAGUAGGAGAUAGAUGCUGUGGAAAAUAAUGGAAGAAAAAUAAUCGAAGGGCCUAUUGAAAGCGGCCUUUUGGCCGGUGACAAUUAGUUGAGGAAUCCAAAGCUCGGUAGAUAUUUAACAAUUAGAUACCUGGAUCAAAAUCCUUUGAACAAUUAGAUGUUUACUGCUAUAAGCUAGAACUUAUAGAAACAGCACAACGGUAAAAUUUUCAAUGAGUUGUAUAGAUCAUCUGAAAAAAAAGCUCGAGUAUCUCACAAUAAUGCACUAAUGUUGUUUAAAUUUUUGUAACCGGAGGUUUCAAUUUGGGAGAUCAAUUAUUACUGUGGGCCUACUCAGCCCUAGUAAUUAUAACCUAUAUUUGUUUUACACGUAACUUCUAUUAUACAUUCAAUAAAACGUGUAGGUAAUACCCUGUACAUUCCUUUCACAAAAAAAAAAUCACAAAGCUAUAGAUUAUUUUCAAUUCGAUCACAAAACAAGUAAAGAAAUAUGACAAUAUUUGAAACGAAAUCUUUAUGGCCCAAUGCUUGCUCUUGCAAGUAUGAGUAAAUAGAAAUAGAAUUUGUGGCAAAUAAUUGAUUGUUUUAACUGUGUGCGUGCGUGUGUGUAUAUAUAUUGGAUCCCUUAAUCAAUUCUAUACGUUAAAUUAUGUUAUUCUAUCAACUAUCCACUAAAUCUUAGGAGACUACUAUCAUUUCAAACCUACAAUUUUUUAUCUUAAGGGUUAUAAAGUUAGUGGUAAAAAAGUACAAAUAUUAUUAAUAUUAUUCCAACACAAUUAUAUAAAUGUAUACGCAUAAAUUGCACCUUAAUUUCCAUGAUUAGAUUAAUAAUUAUAUAUUGUGAUGAUGUAAUUAUCGACUUUUACAUUCUUGUUCGAUUUUCUCUUCAAGGUGACCGCAAAGCAUUGCUCUUAUGGCUAGUCCUUAAUUCACAUCAAUCAUUAUAAUCAUCUAGCUUCCAUGAUUCAUAAGUUUUUUCGAUCGACCCGACUUUAAUUUUAUGUGUAAUUUAAAAAUUGUUAGUGUUAUUAAUUUAAAAGAUCAAUUUAAUUAAGAAUCUGCUUAUGAAUAGUCUUAAAAUUGAUAACUAUGCUGUGAUGGAUACAGAUUAUGUUUUUUUGAGAAAAAGAUAGCAUACUAUUAAUUUCGUUUAUUAUGUGGAGCGUAGAGCUUAUAAUAAUUGAACCCAUGCGUUAAUGCGUUGUAUCCAAAGUAGGAGAAGGACUAGGUGANUAUAUAUAUAUAUAUAUAUAUAUAUAUAUAUAUAUAUAUAUAGAGGUUGAGUAGUUGAUAGGCGUUUGUCAAUUGGCAGCUGCAUGUGUACCACAAUCUGACCUAAAAUUGAUUUAGGUACAUAAAUAGCUCCUGUAUUGUAAAAGCUCUAUAUAAGGUAAAUUCACAAAGCCCUCUUUUACAUUACCCCACGUCUCAAUUACCUCUUAGUAAUCGAAUUGUUGGUAUAUAUCUUACUACAGAGAUUGCAAACCCACCAUUCUAAAUCACGAUUUCGAAUUGCUCAUUCUGAUAUCCACCGAUUUCUUAUCAGAAUAGAAAAAAGUUGCAAACUGAUGGAGAAUUGAAAAAAAAAGGGGCAUGCACAUAAUUAGAUUAGAAGAGCAUGAGCGAUUCAACAGGAACGAUUCAACUAAUCCUGUGUAGCUGUGCAACUUUCCACAAUAUAUGCCCCAUUAAUUUUAGGUAAUUUUAAAGGAGGCACAUUAAGGUCGAGGGAACUGGUGUCAAUUGCAAGUACUUGGGGGAUUAUCUGGCUUAAACACAACAGGAGUAUUUUUUAGAAAAUGGAGGUAUUGGUGGGAAUAACCAAGAAUUACUAUUCUCGGAUAAAAAAUUAGUGUUUGGGUAUAAAAGGGGGAUAAGGGCCUAUUCCUAUCACUAUGUAGCCUAAUUUACUAUCUAAUUAAAUGAAGCAGUGGCAUGCUACUAUUUCUCAAAAAAAAAAAAAAAAAAAAAAAAAAAUAAAAAAAAAAAAAAAAAAAAAAAAAAAAAAAGGGUAAUUUUUACUGAAACCAAAUUCACCUUCUGUUUCUCUUUUCUCCUUUUCUUUUUCUUUUCUUUUCUCUCGUGUUUUCUUGUAGACUUCCUUAACUGAUGUCGAAACACUGUAUUUUAUUUUUAAUUAAUUGACGAUUUUUUUUUCCUCUUUCCAAAAGGAAAAAAGAAAAGAAUCUUUAAACUAAGAUGUAUGAAUUUGGUUUCAAGGUAAGGAUGAGGAUUAAAAUUUUCAUUAUUUUACCAAAAAGUCUCCACCAUCCUUAUAUUUUUUGAGCAAGAGAAAUAAAAGAAAGUAAACUUUUCUAUAAGUUUUUUGAGAAAUUAACUCAACUAGAAAUGCGAAACAACUAAUUUUUAAAUUUAGAAUCUUUGGUACCAACCAUUAAUUAGUCUCAGAUAUCAAUUAUUAAAUCUUUAACCAAUUUCACUAGAUACAGUCAGUACGUAGUAGUCUCUAUCUGCUUAUUGAUGUGAUGAGAUAGUGUGUUGGAUUAAUAAAGUAAAUUUUGGACGAACCCUGAAUUUUAGCUUGCGGUCGUAGUUUCUACUUAUAGCCUUCUGUGUGUGCGUGUUAAUGUCUAACGUGAGUUGGACCAGAAAUAGAUAAAAAUUAUAGGACUCAGAAGACAAAACCUUCCACUAGGCUUUUCUAGUAUACCAAAGGAACAAAUUAAACGAUCUUAUAUAGCAAUAUGAAUAAACUUCUCCUAUAUAGAUAUAGUCCAUAUUUUUAUCUGUGUUGGAACCCAAUUAAGUAAUUUACAUUAACCUCAUCCUACAAAAUGAGAUAUAAAUAGUUCACAGUAAGUAAACAGCUCACUUCAACUAAUACUUGAUAUUCAUGUCAAAUUAAGCUGAGUACCCUCGCACAAAGUACAAACAGUGGGAUAAUUAAUAAUACAUAUUCAAACUCGGAAUACGAAGCAAGUAACGAGCGAGGGAGAGAACCAUGCACACAACAGCCCUUUUUGUGACUUAAUUACAAGCUUAUACAGGAGCAAACAAGCACUUAAUUAAUUAGAUAGAGCUAGUUAUGCUGUCCGAUCCCGUGUCAGAGAGUUCGGAAUGAGGCAUUGAUGUGAGAGUUGGGUAGAGGGCGUACCGGGCAAUACCACAUAAUCCAGAAAAUGAUCCGGAUUCUCUUUGCAGCCUUAUGUACCCAGCUUCGCCCCAGUUUUGGCCCCAUGAGUUCUUUAUGAUCCAAAAUUUGUCUCCAGUCGUAUCGUCUUCUCCAUAUCCUAUAAUCGUGAUGGCAUGGUUAAUUUUGGUUCCACAAGGUCCUUUAAAGAUACCACCGCGGUAUAACUGGAAGUUCUUAUCGGCAUCGACUGCAGCAGCAACCGGUUGCUGCGACACAGCAUUCAUAAUGCUUCUUUCAUUUUUAGGAAGAAAUUUAUACCCAGUAAUGUAAGCUUCAUUGGGCACGAUAGUGGCGUCGACGCAAGUGCCUAUAACUCCAUUAUAAGGAUAGGAAGGCUCAGUUGUCACUCCUUUAUUAGCUAUGAUGAAAUCGUAUCCUUUUUCCACAAAGCCACCACGUUUGCACCCGUAGCUGUGACUGCAAUCUAGAAUUUGUUGUUCUGACACAUCUGGCAAUAUUCCUUUCUUGAUUUUGUAGAUCCCUUCCACCGUCGCAGCUGCCACAAACGCCCAACAAGAACCUAUAUAUAUAUAUAUAUAUCAAAAGAGAGAUUCAUAUUAGCUUCUACUGGAGAAAUUUGUGGAUUGCUUAAUACCAGAAAACAUUCGAACAAUUGAGCUUUUAUAUAUAGUUUUUCUAUAUAAAACCUAUAUACAUUUGCUAUGAAAAGAGAAAAUUUUCAAUCACUGGUUGUGACGGAAGGUUAAGCUACUAAAGAAUAGUACUCUCAAUCUCAAAAAAAGUAUUUUUUAACCUUUAUUUUCGACACUUCCCUUAAAUUUAGAUUCAAGACAAUUUGGUAGGCCCAAAAACAUGAAAUUGAAUUAAAUUGGAGAAAAUUAAGGAGUACACUGGGAUUUAAAUUUGCGGUCUUUGAUUGUAAUACCAUAUUAAACAAUCAAUUGUCUCUAAAAGCUUAAAAUUUAAGAUUUAGUAGAUGAUUAAUUGGGUGUUUCACAAAAUUAAAGUGCUUUUACAUAUUAUACUGAACAUUUCUUACUGCAUGUGCCCUGUUGCUUCACUUCUGUGACAGCACGAUCAUCCCUCCAAUCAACACUUUGAGGCGCCGAAGACAGGUUUACAUCCUCAAACGACAUCAAGGGCUCCGACUUCUGAUUUGCAGGGACAGAUAAACCAGUGUAUUGAGCCAAAAAUUCAUCAGUCGUCAUAUCAGCAAACUGGUUAACACCGAGAGUGUACGAGUUUCCGCUGCGGUUAUUGAAGGUUUCAACGUAGUUCACAUUGUCUUGAAAUAUCUGAAACCGGCGCAGCUUCUCGACAUCGUCAUUGUAAACUCGACCGUUCUCGGCCAUCCAUUCUUCAAACCGCUUCAUCAUGGGAUCACUGGGUUGGCCGCGAGAAGCUGCCGAUGGCGAAGCCCACAUCAAACAAACCAUCAGGUGAAAAACCAGUAGGUGAAACUUAAAAGCCAUAGCACUAAAUAGCAGCAAUACUUUGGAAUGGAAACUACAAGAGUUUUCGUUGGUGAGGAUGAGGUCCUCGCAUAGAGUUUUUAUAGAAGUACGUGGCUACUUGUUGGAGCAUUAUGAAUACAGAUCGAUGCUGGGGAAAAUAAUUCGAGGAAAAUAAUCGAAGGGGCUGUAGUUGAGGGAUCCAAAGCUGGGUUGAUCCAAAUCCUUUUAUAAUAUCAUAAUUUUACGUAUAUGCCAUUAUUAGUGCACAACCGACCGAACGGGUUGGUGAGUUACCAAAUUAAAGAAAAGUAGAAUCUGUUCAAAUUAUUUCAGGACCGUUCCCAUUAUUCAGCGUACGUAACUAAUUAUAUAUGUGGUAUGCUCACAAGUGAUUGAAAUUAUUAAGCAAACAAUGUAUUGAGAACCCCUCAUACAUGAAUUAUGAGAUAGUGUGUUGGAUUAAUAAAGUAAAUUUUGGACGAACCCUGAAUUUUAGCUUGCGUACGUAGUUUCUACUUAUAGCCUUCUGUGUGUGUGUGUUAAUAUCUAACGUGAGUUAGACCAGAAAUAGAUAAAAAUUAUAGGACUCAGAAGACAAAACCUUCCACUAGGCUUUUCUAGUAUACCAAAGGAACGAAUUAAAUGAUCUCUUAUAUAGCAACAUAAUUAAACUUCUCCUAAUAGUCCAUAUUUUUAUGGGUAAAAUUAUAUUGUUACCUCCUGAACUUUUAGCAAAGUUUUCACUUUAUCCCUCGAACUUCUAAAAUGGACAUCUAAUACUCUAAAUUCCAAUAUUUUGUUCAUGUUACUCUUUCCGUUAGUUUUUUCAUCAAGCUCCGUUAACCGGAAACUGACGGAAGGGAUAAAACGAAUAAAAUAUUAGAGUUUAGGGUAUUAGAUGUUUAUUUUAGAAGUUUGGAGGGUUAAGUAAAACUCGCCAAAAGUUCAGGAAAUAGCAGUGCAAUUUCACAUAUGAAAAAUUAAGGACCUAUUUAGCUCCUUAAAAAAUAGUAGAAAACUAUUUUUUGCGGAAAAUUUUUUUGUGAAAAAAGAGAAUUUUAAAUUUUUAUUGUUUGCUUCGACAAAAAAAAAAAAAAAAAGUUUUUCAUUCAUGCAUGUUUGGUGACAAGAAACAAAUGACGAGAGAGUGAGUGAGUAAUAGCUUGCCAGCGCGAUGCAGCAUAGCGUACGCAGCAGCCGUAACUUUCACGCGUGAUGGGGCAGUAGUUUGUGGACGCGACAUAGCCAUAAGGCAAUGGUGGCGCGGGCAAGAUGCAGUCGGAUUGGUGGCAACGAUAGCAGCAGAAUGCCGAUGUAGACGGAUAGGGAGAGAGAGAUGGUAGACACCGCCCGUUGCAAUUACGAGAUAAUGGGUAGAAAGUAAAGAAAGAUUCUUUUUUUUUAUAUGAGUGUAGCUAUCAUACAUUUAUGAAUAUAAACUCUUUUAUAUUUAUAAGCUUUUUACCAUUAAAUCUAUUUCUUAAUUAUUUUCACUCGUUAGAUCAUACUAUUUAAUUAAUCACUCAUUCAACUUUAGGAGGCCACCAUCAUUUCUAACCGCACAAUCAUUUAUCAACCGGUAAAAAAUUUAGAAAUACAAAGAAAUCUAUACUUAUAAGAGUAUAAUAGUACUAAUCCUUUAUAUAUAGGGUUAAUUUUAUACAGAUCCCUACAAAUAUAGUGAAUAACAAAUAUAUUCCUACAAAGUUCAAUUUUCAUAUGUUGUCCCUACACCGACCGUCCUUAGAGCAAGUGGCAAAGGGUUUGGUGGUUGGUGCUCGAGACCCAAAUUCGAAUCCUUGAUUCAGAUUUCCAACUAAGUUUAUUUCUAAAUAAAAUAAACGAAGCGGGUAACAUAUGUUGUCCCUACAAAUGUUCUGAUAUUUUCAAAUAUAUUCCUCUGAUUUAUUGCUUUUAGAAAACUGUUUAUAUUUUCAAUUUUGCCAUCACAAAUAUAUCCCUUCAAAAACUAUAACAAAAUAAUAUAAAAGGGUAAAAAUAUUAAAAGCUAGUUAGAGUUAAAUAUUUAAUCUAUGGUUAACUAAAAUUUUCUAACGAAUUCUACUGGUAGGGACAUAUUUAAAAAUAUCAUGAUUUUGUAGGGACAAUAUAUGAAAAUUAAACUUUAUAGAAGUAUAUUUACCAUUCAUUAUGUUUGUAGGAAUCUGUAUGAAAUUAACAAUAUAUAUAUAGGACGGGUUCGGAUUCGGGUCGAGUAUAGUCAAAAUCCAUAUCCGAAUUCAUAUCAAUUUUCCAUCAAGCUUCGUUAAUCGGAAACUGACAGAAAGAAUAAAACGAAUGAAAUAUUAGAGUUUAGAGUGUUAGAUAUAUAUCUAUUUUAGGAGUUUGCAAGGUUAAGUGAAACUUGCCAAAAGUUCAGAAAGUAGCAGUGCAAUUUACCCCGUAGAACUCUUGACUAUAAAUUAUUUUAUUAUAAUAUGUUACUUAUAAAUUGACUAUUAACCCUCAACUUAGUGAUCAUGCUUGAUUUUGAAUUUAUAUAUAUUUUUUAUCCUAAAAUAAAUUAUACCAUAAUUUAUCCUACAUUUUAUUGUAGUAAAAUAAAAACGAAAAAAAUGAAUUAGAGUGGCUUAAAAAUAAGAAAAGUGCGAUACUAAUUACCUACGAUACUCGAACACUCUACUAUCCUUAUUUACUCGCUAAUAUGGUUGAUUUACAAUAGGUGUACUCACUCAGAUAUAGAUAUUUUAAUUCUUAGUUAAUUUUCUAUACUACUCGUUUGUCCUUUUUAUCUUUAGAAGUAUUGUUAUAAAAAAUGCAUUUAUUUUCUGUAAAAUUAUGCAAUGUAACUUUAUUGUAGUCUAAAAUAAAAUUUGUGUACUUCAUUUCAGCCAAUUAAAAAUUUUUAAUAUAAAAAUAUAAAAUAAUAUUUUAUAAUACUUUAGAACAAUGUUUCUAAAGUAUGAUAAAUUAUGAUAUGAUUUAUUUUAGUAUAAAAUAUAUAUAUAUAUAUAUAUAUAUAUAUUCAAAAUCAAGUAUGAUCACUAACUUGAAAUUUAGUAGUAAAUCCAUAAGUAACAUAUUAUAAUAAAAUAAUUUAUAGUUGGGGUAAAUUGCAUUGUUACCUCCUGAAUUUUUGGCGAGUUUCACUUAACCCCCCAAACAUCUAAAAUAGACAUCUAACACCCUAAACUCUAAUAUUUCAUUCGCUUUACCCCUUCUGUCAGUUUCCGGUUAACAGAACUUGACGGAAAACUGACGGAAGUGGUAACAUGAACAAAAUAUUAGAAUUUAGGGUGUUAGAUCUCCAUUUUAGGAGUUCAAAGGGUAAAGUAAAAUUUCGUCAAAAGUUCAGGGGAUAACAAUAUAAUUUACCCAUAUUUUUAUCGUGUUGGAACCCAAUUAAGUAAUUUACAACCUCAUCCUACAAAAUGAGAUAUAAAUAGUUUACAGUAAGUAAACGGCACACUUCAAUUUUUACUUGAUAUUCGUGUCAAAUUAAGCUGAAUACACUCAGACAAAGUACAAACAGUGGGAUAAUUAAUAAUACAUAUUCAAACUUGGAAUACAAAGCAAGUAACGAGCGAGGGAGAGAACCACACAACAGCCCUUUUUGUGACUUAAUUACAACCUUAUACAGGAGCAAACAAGCACUUAAUUGAUUAGAUAGAGCUUGUUAUGCCCUCAGAUCCCGUGUCAGAGAGUUCGGGAUGAGGCAUUGAUGUGAGAGUUGGGUAGAGAGCGUACAAGGCAAUGCCACAUACUCCACUGUAUGAUCCGGUUUCUCUCGCCAGCCUCAUGUACCCAGCUUCGCCCCAGUUUUGGCCCCAUGAAUUCUUUAUAAGCCAGUAUUUUUCUCCCGUAUAAGAGUCUGCUCCGUAUCCUAUAAUUGUGAUGGCAUGGUUAAGUUUAGCUGCACAAGGUCCUCUGUAGAUACCGCCGCGGUACAACUGGAAGUUUUUACCGGCAGCGACUGCAGCGGCUACCGGUUGCUGCGCCACAGCAUACAUGAUGCUGCGCUCGUUCUUAGGAAGAAAUUUAUAACCAGUAAUGUAAGCUUCGUUGGGCACGAUACUGGCGUCGUAGCAUUGGCCUUUAGCUCCAUUGUAAGGAUAGGAUUGCUCGGAUGUCACACCUCUAUUCGCUAUGAUGAAAUCGUAUCCUUUUUCCACCCAGCCACCGAGUUGGCACCCGUAGCUGUAACUGCAAUCUAGAAUUUGUUGUUCUGACACAUCUGGCAUUAUUCCUUUCUUGAUUUUGUAGAUCCCUUCCACCGUCGCAGCUGCGACGAACGCCCAACAAGAACCUAUAUAUAUAUCAAAAGAGAGAUUCAUAUUAGCUUCUACAGGAGAAAUUUGUGGAUUGUAUACAACCAGAAAACAUUCGAAAACAUUCGAACAAUUGAAUGUUUAUAUAUAGAUUUUUCCAGAAAAAAAAAAAAAAAAUCUCAGGCGGUAUUCCAAGCUCUGUGUUUCUUUUAACUUCUUUUCACUAGCUAGCGUGUCAUUCCGCGUCCGAGUCAAGUUCUUAUUUGUUUUACUGAUAGAAGGUUAAACUACUGGAGCACCAUUUUUGACUAAAUAUCAUUUCAUCUCACAUCUUAUUUGAAGAUUUGUAGUAGGUGAUACUCAUGCUGAUGCAUUUUUUAUUGGUUUAGGGCCUGAACUUUGAAUUUUAAAAUAGGGAAAAUAUGGCUAUUUUUAUCAAAAAUAAUUAGUAGAUAAUUAACUGGGUGUUUCACAAAAUUGAAGUGAUUUCAUAUACUAUACUACUGAAAAUUUCUUACUGCAUGUGCCCUGUUGCUUGAUUUCUGUUACAGCACGAUAAUCCCUCCAAUCAAUACUUUGAGGCACUGAAGGCAUGUUUACAUUCUCGAACGGCAUCAACGGCUCCGACGUCCGAUUUGCAGGGACAGAUAAACCAGUGUAUUGAGCCAAAAAUUCGUCGGUCGUCAUAUCAGCAAACUGGUUGACACCGAGAGUGUACGAGUUUCCGCUGCGGUUAUUGAAGGUUUCAACGUAGUUCACAUUGUCUUGAAAUAUCCGAAACCGGUGCAGCUUCUCGACAUCGUCAUUGUAAACUCGACCGUACUCGGCCAUCCAUUCUUCAAACCGCUUCAUCAUGGGAUCACUGGGUUCGCCGCGAGAAGCCGCCAAU